rnacentral:lncRNA from 1 species
CCCCGUCUUCAGAGACUACUGCCAUCGAUCUUUUCUCCACUGAUGUGUGUUCACCACAUGCAUCAAUAUUUUGUUUCAACUUGUAUUGUAUGUAAGAUGUUCAUGGAGCUAAGGGCUAUAUAAACCCCCCAAAGACAACCUCUUGGGAGCCACACUCUCCAACACAAUCAAUCAACACAUAAGCAACACCCAAAUGCCCCCUUGAGCACACACACUCUCUCUUCUUCAACCCUCCUCUCCCUCCCCUCUCUCUCUCUCUCUCCCCUGCAUUCUUAGGCUUACAUGGCUCAGCAGCUCGUCGGGCGAAUCACAAUGGAGGUGGCGCCAUCCAAGCUGCCGUCGAUGAAGACCAGGCGUGCCAGGCUCCUGACGAGCCUCGACACGAUCGCGGAGGACGACAAGGAGGCAGCCAUGGAGUCACAGUCACCAAGGGCGCCGCCGCCGCCUCUGCGCAAUGCGAGCUGCGGCGGCGUGGAGGUCAUCGUCGACACCCCUAUGCACUGCGCCGACAAGCUGGCCUUCCUCGCCCCCAUGGCGAAGACCGAGUGCCUCAAGAUCAAAGCCUAAGUUUGGUAGGAGAGAGAGAUGAGGGUGAGGGAAUCAUGGAGCUGGAGAGUCUUGCUCUCUUGUUUUAGUUCUGAGCAUAAGGCAAUCCCUUUUUCGUUUUACGUACGCUAUAGUAGCUGUCACUGUUUUGCAUUGCUAUGUUCAUGGUGGGGCACUAGUAAGAACUAUUACUAAUAACGUGGUUUUUUGCUUCUACCCUUCAAUGUGAAGAUAGAAGAUCAAGAACACUACUGAAUCAAAGUCUGUAUCUUUUUUCAGCCUUGAUUAGUAUGUUUUUUAAUGCCACUGAUAUAUUCAUACAUUAGCUUUUCUUUUUAAUUACUGUGUCACCAGGUGUCCCUGUAUAUAAGCGUGGUUAACUUUGAACAUGGAUGGAUCACAAGAUUCACAACCCAUCCAGAAUAAUCUAAUAUUAUUCAGCUUCAUGUGCUAACUAUGGAAGUUCAAAAGCGUUAGUUGACGGUGAUGGACCAACAUUCCUAGUGCUCCCUCCAUUCUAAACUGUAAUUAAGUUGUUUCGGAUUUAUUCCAAGACUAUGUUUGUAUCUUUGGAAUUAAAUUUAUUCUAAUAAACAUAAUUUAAGUGCAUAUUAAUUAAGUUAAUAUUGUUGUGUAUGAAAUAUAUUUUAUACUAUUACUAUCUAUGCAAGGGAGAUGCUUAUAUGUUGUAUUUCUAUUAUAGGGAAGUGUGUUAAAGAUUGUUAUAAGUUACAGAGUAGAAAAAUAGCAUAGUAAUCUAUAGACACUGUUCGCCUAAACGGCUGUUUAGACUGUUUAAAAGUCAUGUAAACGCUACACAGUGGUACACUAUUUUUAUUUAAUAAUCCGUUUAGUCCGUUUAAUUGACCGUUUAGUCCGUUUAAUGGACUGUUUAGCCUGAAUAAUGGCUAAACGACAGGUGUUUACCGUUUAGCGUUUAGGAAAACAUUGUCUAUAUAAUCGUUUCUCAUCUCCCACCCUAUGAAUUUGAGAUAUACUUAUAUGUGAACUUUGGAAAGUUGUGGAAUCUCAAAUUCCAAACCAAAUAGCCUACUCUAUUGAGUAGAUUCCAAUUUCUCCAAAAUAAAAAGAUCCAAACGGCCCUUAAGUUAAAUGUCUCUAACUUUGUCCAAGUUUAUAUAAACAUACAAACAUCUAUAACAUCAAACAAGAUUCAUUUGAUACAUAUUGCAUUAUUUGAUAUUGUAUAUGUUAAUACUCCCUCCGUUUCAAAAUAACCGUUGUUUUCGCUUCUCGAGAAACAACUUCAACUAAAUAUAUUUUAAUAUUAAUAUUUAUGGUACAUAAUUAAUAUUAUAGAAAAGAUCUUUGAAUCUAGUUUUCUAUAAAUUUAUUUAGAUAUACAAAUAUUACACAUAUUUUUUAUAAAUUGAGUCAAACUUGUGGCACAGAAACCCAAAACGAUAAUUAAUUUGGGACGGAAUGAGUGUUUUUUCUAUAAAUUUACUUAGAAAAACAAAUUACAAUUCAAAUGAAUAGUUAAAAAUUAAACAAAUGCAUUUCAUCUUAUUAGGAGAUUAUAGAUGAUCGUAAUCAUCCUAAGGGCUCACAGUUAUUUUAAAGUAUCACAGUGAAACCCAUUAUGUAAACUUUCUUCUUCUGAAUGAAAUAUUUUUUUUUUAAAAAAAAGCACCACUACGGGUCGUUUGUGGCUUCUCGCGCGUGGGUUUUUGUUGUGCAAUGUCCUUGGUGAGCCGUGGUCUUCAACCUCGGGUCUUUGGCAUUGGCAAAGCAUCUACUAGACUAUAUACUACAUCACCCAAAAACACAAUGCCAGGCUGGACUCAGCGCGUCGGGCCGCCCUAUUCGUUUGGCUCAGAAAGUACUGUUGAUUGAUUUAUUAUGAGAGAAAAAUAUUGUUGAAUGAUUGACAGAUUUGAUUGAUAAACUUAUUUUUUGACAACUCAAUCGUGCACGUAUCAGGAAUAGUGUGCUAGCCUAAAUUUUUAGCAGAAGGGAAGGAGUAGUGUGUUAGCUGCAUUGGGUUAGUUGGAUCGAAUCACCAAAACAUGCUGAGGCCUUGUUUAGUUCUAAAAACUUUUCGGUUUUCGAAACUGUAGCAUUUUCGUUUUUAUUUGACAAACAUUAUCCGAUCAUGAAGUAACUAAGUUUAAAAGAUUCAUCUCUUGAUUUACAGAUAAACUGUGUAAUUAGUUUUUAUUUUUGUAUAUAUUUAAUGUUUCAUGCAUGUACCGUAAAAUUCGAUGUGACGGGGAAUCUUGAAAAGAUUUUGGUUUUUGAAGUGAACUAAACAAGGCCUGAAUUUGUGUCACUUCUCUAUCUAAUAUAAGGCUGAAAAAAGCCCAUGGGCCUCUUCCCAUGCCUAGGAACAACCGUGACGGAUUGGGCCUCUAAGAGUUUAUUUUUUGUGACUAUUGGGCCUCUAGGGUUAAGUUGUCAGUAGUUUGAGCAAUUCCGUCUGAUCACUCUUCUGAGUGUAAUAGGUAGGCAUCAACAUAUUCUGAUGAAAAGUUUUUUUACCUUAAACACAUGACCAUGUAACGCAACGAACCCAUCCAAAGAAAUGUCCUUCGAAAAGAAUCAAUCCAUUGUUUGUUCCUACUCCUGCACGAACUGCCUGAUCUGUCAAUGGGGAUUAGAGUAGGUUCAUCAUGUGAUUCAGUGUAGGCUAUAGGCGUCAUGAUUUCUCCAGUCCUUGCAAGCUUCUGUUCCACCAAUGCAAGCCAUCUGCAAUCUCCAAGUCAGAAGAUGCAGUGUGUUACAGUAGCCAGUAGCGUAAUGGUUGGUUGCAGGCAACAGAAAAGAUACAGCUACGGCUUUAGCUUUUGGUGGAUCUUGGAAGGAGACAUUUGGCAUCAGCCAUCAGCUGGUAGGUGCAUCGGAAUGGAGUUAGCAGCUAACUGGAAUCACUCUCAGUGUCUCUGAUUGAUUCUUACAGUAGUGUGUAAAAUAUGUGCUGCUAGCUAGUAACCAUUGCCAGCAUGAGCUAGUCUCCGUCAGGCCAGCAUCUCUCUCUCUCUCUCUCUCUCUCUCUCUCUCUCUCUCUCUCUCUCUCUCUCUGUGACAAAUGUUGUCUUUUCAAUUCCUCAAACCCUGAAAACAAUUAGAUAUAGGUAAUGACCACGUUCAGCAAAGGAAGAACUAAAGCAUGAGUAGUACGUAGUCUUUUUCUGAUGCUUUUUGGUUCUCCAAGGACAGAUAUACACGAGUCAUGAGGGCAUCAAUUGCUACCCGGCCGGCUCUGAAAUUCUGAAAUGGAACCACUCGCUGUUCUCAACUGCACAGCUCAUGAAUCUUCUUUUAAGGACACGGCUCAUGUGCAUGUUUUUUUCAGCACCCCAGUUAUAUAUAUGCAUAAUAAGGCCUUGUUUUAUUGUUUAGUUCACGUUAAAAACCAAAAACUUUUCAAGAUUCCCCGUCAUAUCGAAUCUUACGGUACAUGUAUGGAGCAUUAAAUAUAGACAAACACAAAAACUAAUUGGACAGUUUGCCUGUAAAUCGCGAGAUGAACCUUUUAAACCUAGUUAGUCCAAAUAAAAACGAAAAUGCUAUAGUACCCAAAACCAAAAAAAUUUCAACUAAACAGGGCACUCACAUUUUCUGAAUCUGAAACGGCACACUGUUACCGCUAGCACCAUGUACCUACAACUCUUGCAAACAGAUUUGGAGUGCCUCAAUGUGUAGUGUAGGUAGGCCUCGAGUGUGGUGUGGAGCACGACUAGGGGCUUUGUGUUGUGUGGAUGGACAGUGAGAGAGGCCAGAAAGCAGGCACAUGUGUUGUUGUGCUUGACGUGUCAUGAUCAUCGCCGGUCCUCUUCUUGGGAGCAAAGCAAUGCAACGCAACAAAGGAUCGGAUGGCAGCGCCGGCCACGUCUUGGAUACAUUCCCCAUCAACUCAUAAUAAUCUCUUUGGGUUGGGUUGGGUGCGCCCGUAACAACCAGUGCCUGCCCAAAUGGGGCAAAUUCAGCGUAGCUGCCAAUCUGCCAUGGAGAAAGUUCAUUGUCAUGAACAAGCCUAGACACACUUGUGGAGUAGUGGUAGAUCUUUCCCAACGGGAUUCUACUUUUACCAUUUUUAUUUACUAUAUAUUCCUUUUCUCUUUUUUUUAAACUUAUUUACUACUAUUUCUUUACCGGCAUGAGUCUAGUAAAGCAUGGUUAUUACCCGAUUUAUUUAUUUAUUUAUGCAAUUUACCCCUUUUGUCAAAAAUACUGACUCUCAGGGUUCAAAGUCUGAAUUAUGUCUCCUAGUGAUGUAAAUAUUUUUUUAAAAAAAAGGUCAAAUUGCAAAAAAAAAGAGGGGGUCAUUACUGGUAACAAAUAGCCGGCAUUUAAUUUAAUUUUCUGAUGAAGCUUUUUCACCUUUGGAACUUUCGAAUCAGAAUUUUAGUCUGCAAAUGGUAGAGUGUGGAAAUGUUCUUUCAACUAACUGGAGUUCCAGAAAGAGUGCUGAUACCAUCGAAGUCUCGUUUGGAGGAAACAUUGCAAAAAUCAAAUCUUUGUGCUGGAUGAUUUGUCGUCGAAGGCGCAGGAAAUACCGUGUCAACGAGGGGUGGUUUGGUAGAGAAUGGAAACCAUCGUGAGCCGCAUUUGCAAAUAAAACAUUGUGGUUGAGAGAACUUGUGAUGCAACUAUAUAAUAUAUGUGUGUGGCGAGGCGCAAAAAAAGGUUUUUGUUGUGCGUUUUUUUUUUGUUGUGGCACGCCUUUUUGACAUUGUGGGAUGCUAGUUUGUUUCCUAGCACAAAAAGGACUUGCACCGGAACAAACUCUCGCCAUGGCUUAUAGCGGUACUUUCAGCUAUGGCUUUUCAACCAAGUAACGCUUUUCAGUCACUCAAGUUUCAGAAGAACUUGCACUGAUACUUUUAGCUAUGGCCUUUUAGCCAAGCGAACAGUCCCAGCGGAGCGGUAAAGACGGGUACUUCCAUUAUGUUAGUUCACAAGCUCUUGGAGUAAUGCUGUUAUAGCAACCGAAAGUGUGCACAUAUUUUUCAACAAAGCUAUCAUAUAUUAUUACUAUAGCAUGCCCUUCCUCUUGCCAUCUCUAGAUGAUUAAUGGAUCUCAAAUUUUUUUAAAAAAAAAGAUGGUUAAUGGAUAGCUCCAUAUGGUUGCGGUGCAUCUUCCGAUGCUUAUGGUUAUGGAUAUGUACGGACACGAAAACGAAAACAUAGUUCAGUUCGUAAAAAAAAUUUAGAUUUGGAUAUUGUAGUAUUUUUGUUUUUAUUUGAUAAAUAUUGUCCAAUUAUAAAGUAACUAGGUUUAGAAGAUUCGUCUCACCAUUUACAGAUAAAUUGUGCAAUUAGUUUUUGUUUUUAUGUAUAUUUAAUGUACUACUAGGUAAAUGCAUGUGCGUUGCAACGGGAAACAUAAUACCACGAUAACAUAUAUAUAUAUAAGCAUGUGUUGUAUUGUUAAUUAAAAGACAUUGCAAUCGUGUUAUUUGGAACAACAAUAUAUAUCACAUAAGUCUUCAAAAAAGAUAAUUAAAAUAUAACUCUAAAUUUCAAGUCCAAGAUGCGGCAUCUAACUCCUUACUGCUAGAGUAUGCAGAUGGUUGAAAUUGUAGUAGGAAGUAUCCUUCAUAUAGAAGUUGUUUAUUAAUUUUUAAAGCUUAAGCGUGUUGAUAUCUUUAAAAAAAUGUAUCGGUGCAUUACUUCUUUUAUGUAGUCAGAACCUCUUUAUAUAUGAUAUUUUUUGUGAAUAUAUCCUUUGUCAAUUUCUUUCUUCCCGUUCCCCUUGGUCAUGUUCUUCUCAUCGGGCGAUAUGGCCAGGAUCUUAAUGUUUGAUCUUGUCGUGGCUCUGGAUAGCGCUACAUAUCAUUGGUCGUGUGAGAACACUGAUUCUGGCAAGUAUACCCCCAACAAUAGGGAUAGUCUGCCCCUGUACCUUUUAAAUUGGAAAGGAAACAUCUCAUUGCCCGACGGGUAUGCGAGGUAGAAACCCCCUUUUGCAGCAUGUUGUCCCACCACGAUUUCUGCAUCUACGAUAUUCUUUUGGAACCCCCGUAUGAUAAGCCUAGUACCAUUACAAAGUCCAUUGGCACGGUCAAUGUUCCUAAGCAAUAUGACCGGGCAGCCAAUCUUUAGCUUUAACACCUGUGGCGAUAGAUCAUUAGGUGUCAAAGUGUUAAGAAAUUCCUCAGGAUAGUAGUUGUGUGGAUCAUCCACCGCAGAGUCAGAGCUAUGAUACACCAUCUCAUCCCCAUAGAAACGACUAAUCAUUUUCAUAUUAAUCAUAUCUACACAGUCAUUCCGCAUUGAUAAUAUUGCUCGAGAGGUGAUAUAAUCUUUGCUUGACAUAUUUGCAUUGAGGUUAGGGAAUAUGCAAUCAAUUAGAGUAUCAAGGUCGCUCUCUUCCCCGGUGUGUCGUAGGCAUAUAUCAUGAGGAAGACAGAUUUCAUCAUCGUCGCCAUUCACCUCCUCAGAACCUCCAUUGAUAGUGUUUGUCAAGUCACCAAAUGGAAUGCGACAUUCAUUGUUUUUCGUAGAAUCCAUGGGGCUUGACGAGGUCAUCUGGUGGCUUCGCAAUCGUGAUUGCAGGGGUACAUGGUAUUAUGGAAGUAUGGCUUGUAAAUUGAAAUGAUGUACAAGUAAAAUGACCAUUCUUAGUAGAUGAGCAACACUAAAAUAUUGCUUCUACUGCUCCAUAGAUGCAAUUGCCAUCUCUUAAAUAAAAAACAAAGGGGAUGGGGAGCAUAUAGCUACUAAUGCAUACCAGUCCUUAUCCGUAUCAGCCCUUUCAGCUUAGCACUUGGAUCCGAUAGUUCAUUCCUAAAUCUGUGUCAACUAAAACGAAAAGGCUAAGAUCAUUCAAGUGUAUAUAUAAUUAUGAAAAUAGACAAAGAUCACCCAGUUUUGAAUAGAAACCAACCUCUAUAAAAACUUAUUUUAAAUAGACAGGCAACGUAAAAAUUUUAUUUCACAAUAGGAAAGUAACGCUUUCUAAACCCACUUGUGUUAAAACCAGAUGCAUACAAAUCAGCUGGAUAGUUCUAACUGUUAGAAAUCAGCUCUUUGCAAACACAAACACAGUACACAGGAAACAACAAAAACAGAGAGGAAUUGGGAGAAGUGAGAGCUCUUUCAUUCACUUUCUUUCUUCUUUCUUAUUUCUUACAUCUGAUGAGGGUUACCUCAUAUUUAUAGAGCAUGGAGUGUGUGUGAACUCAGUGACUUUCUCUCCCUCUCUCCAUUAAUUUGGCCACAUUCAAAGUCUUCCAUUCAUACACUAUUCUUAGUCUUUGUAAAGACUUUGAUUUUCAACACUCCCCCUUGGCCAAAUUUAUGUCAUGUGUAUGCCUCGUUAAAAAACUCCCCCCCCCCAAAAACCCAGUGGGAAAAAAAAGGUAGGAGAAAAGAGUACAUCACACGCAUCGCUUAUGUUGCACCUGUCGCCUCGUUAAAAACCUUGCAUGAGAAAACCCGGUGGGAAAAACUCAUCAAGGAAAAAAGAGUACGACAGUUGAUGUUCGAGUCGGUCUUCAGGACCGACUUGUGAUCUUCAGGACCACAGUCAUGGGUUAUAAUCUUUGGGGUUGGUCUCCCCCUGAACCCUGCAACUCUCUAAGCUGCCUCACACUUGUUCCAUGGACACACUUAUAGAAGCUAGAGGUCGGUAGAGAUUUUGUGAAAAGAUCUGCGAGUUUAUCGCACAACCUUGCUUGCAGGAUAUUUAUCUCCCCGCUCUUCUGGAGCUUGUGGGGAUAAAAGAGUUUUGGAGCAAUAUGCUUCGUGAUAUUGCUCUUGACAUAACCCAGGCACAUCUGUGCAACACAAGCCACAUUAUCUGCAUAGAUAAUGGUGAGGGUGUCGGCGACGUUCAAACCACAUGACUUCUGGAUGUGAUUGAUCAUUUGUCGCAACCAAACACAUUCUCGUGUAGCCUCAUACAGAGCAAUUCUCUCUGAGUGGUUGGUCGAUGUGGCAACCAAAAUCUGUUUCAUAGACCGCUAGGAAAUGGCUGCUCCACCACAGAGAAAGACAAAACCAGUCUGUGAUCUGGCAUUAUGCUGGUCAGACAUAUAGCCAGCAUCCACAUAUCCCACCAUGGUUGGAGCUUGGUUCUUCAGGAACCAUAGACCAAGGUCUUGUGUACCUUGUAGGUACCUCAAGAUGGUUUUGACGCCAACCCAAUGCCUCCUGGUUGGGGCAGCACUGUGCCUUGCCAACAGAUUUACUGCAAACGCAAUGUCAUGUCUAGUGCAGUUUGUGAUGUACAUCAGUGCUCCAAUGACGCUUAAGUAUGGAACUUCGGGUCCCAAUACUUCCUCAUCAUCGCCCUUGGGUCUAAAUGGGUCCUUAUUCGCUUCCAGGGAUCGGACCACCAUGGGGGUCUUAAGAGGGUGGCACUUGCUCAUAUUGAAUUUUCAAGUACCCUCUUAGUAUAAGUGGACUGGUGUACAAACACUCCUUCAGAGAGGUGUUCGAGCUGCAGGCCCAAACAAAACUUGGUCUUGCCCAAGUCUUUCAUCUCAAACCCCAUCUUGAGGUAAGCCAUCGCUUCCUCAAUGUCCCUUGUAGCCCCGAUGAUGUUCAAAUCAUCGACAUAAAAAUCCAUCAUUGGAUUUCUUUAUGAAAACACGGGGACAAUCAUCAUUAUUGAUGUAACCUCUCUGCAGGAGAAAGUUACUUAAUUGGUUGAACCACAUCCUUCCGGAUUGUCUCAACCUAUACAACGACCGCUGCAGGCGGACGCUAAACAUGUUGCGAUUUUGAUUCGGUCCAGGGAUCUUGAGUCCUUCAGGGAUUCUUAUGUGGAUUCCCGAAUCAAGUGACCCAUACCAGUAUGCGGUCACAAUAUCCAUCAACUGCAUUUUUAAGUUCAAGUUAGCUGCCAUAGAUAUAAGAUAUCGGAACGUUAUGCCACUCAUAAUGGGAGAGUAAGUCUCAUCAUAAUCGAUCUCGGGUCUCUGCGUGAACCCUAUGCCACCAGCCUCGCUUUGUGCCAUGUUUAUUCCUCUUCAGGAGGGAGACCCAUUUGCAUCCUUCAGGGAUGACCUUGGAGGUGUUGGGACUGCAGGCCCAAAAGCCUCUCUUUCAUAAAGCGAGUGCAACUCUGCCUCAAUUGCAGCUUUUCAUUUGUCCCAAUCUGAGUGCUUCUGGCACUCUGCCAUGGACUUUGGUUUGGAUCCAGAUCCAUUGAGCCAACAAUUUUUGAGGCAAAAUAUGUGUCGACAAUGGUGGUGUUUCUAUAAUGUGACUCUCCUGAUUCCACAUAAUUAGUGGCGAUUUCCUCAUGAUCGCCCCCCCACUCAUCAUGAUUUCCCAUAACAAUUGAGUUGGGGCGUUCCGAUCUUUCAAUGCGAUGGUGCGCUUGACGCAUUGGGAUUUCCAUCUUCAGGAUGGUGUCCUUCAGGGACCUCCUCAACUUCAGGUUGAGUUGCCACUUCAGGGGCAUUCUCGACUUCGGGUCGAGCUUCUUCAACUGAUUCUUUAAAUGAUACCAAGUGGCUCAAGACCUUGUCUACAUGGACGUCUCCACGGAACCUUGUCUGAGCACCUAGAGGUCUCCCCCUCAACCUAGGAUCAGGAUGGAGACAAUAGAGUUGGUAACCUUCAGGGAUACCCGAACUCUCUCUGGCACAUUUACUACAGGUAAAUGUGGCCUUGUCAUUUUUCUAAUCAGUGAAGGCAUUUGGCAGCUCAUUUGCAGUAAUUUGUAAAUGCAUACUUUUCUGAACUUCUGGUCCAGAUUUACUAGUGUGUGUAGAAGGAAUGCCUUUAUUCCUUUUCAUGCAAUUUCCUGGCAUUCUUCUGGAUGCCUAUCUCCCCCUAAUGCUGGGAAAUACAAUCAGCGUACCGAGCCUCAUGAAGAUCCCUAGUCAUAGGCUCAUACAUCCCAACUUCUGGUGGGGUUUCUUUGGUGUACGCUGAUACGGCGAUACUGGCACAUAUAUCGCAUAACUUAUACGCAGAUGGGAAAUACUUUCUUUCUCACACACUAGCCAUAUGGGGGAUGUGCAGUUGACCUGAGUUGAAUAAAUUUUGCAGUAUGUAAUGCUGCAUGGCCCCAAUUGCUGGUUGGCAGCCUUUGAUUUUGCAGUAAUGGCCAUACAUUAUCCACUUGAUCCUUUUGAUCAAGGACUCAACUAGGCCUCUUUGUGACUCAUCCCUAAUCUUCAGGAGGGAUGGCCUAGUGAUUAUCCUUCCCUUUGCACGUGCGGUGCAAAUAAAAUCUUCAGGAUUAGGGAAGUUUUUAUGACCAAUAGAAUUAUUGAUGAUUUUCUCAUCAUAUCCAACUCAGGAUGACCCAAUUGGUCAUGCCAUAUUUCUCUAAAAUAAUAUGGCUUUUACCGCAACAUAUUUCUUAGUGGGAUUGUGUAUAUGUAGUACAAGCCCAAUGAAGGAAAUACAUCCACCACAUACUUUAAAUGCUUAUGGGAGAACUAGUGCGGCACUUCUGGUGCCCUUGAUAUGAACAUUGCUUCUGGCAAUGGUCAUAAUAUUUCCAUUUCCUAGUCAAUGUUUGAAAAUAUCUAGUUUCUCUUAACAUUAUAUUGGUGGUGUCACUGUCUGCAGGACAGGUUUCCGCUUCAAUCAUAUGGGCUCCCACCAGGUAUGAGAAUUUGGAGAUUUGGCAUAUGUUCAAAGGCCAAAAACCAACAUUCAUAACUUAUUAAAAAUGCUCUGCAGGAGCAUGCAUGGCCAUCACUCAACAUGCUAUAAAUGCUCUUCAGGAGCAUGAAUGGCCAAACUCAAUUGGUGUAUGUGGACAUUUCAUUGCGACUAACAUGAUAUCUCAGGGAUUAGCAGGUCCCUAGAUAUAUCACAGAAAUUAGGAGAAGGUUUUCCCCACUCACAUCCACUUGGAUGUUUUCACCAUCUCUUUUCACGGUGACAAAUGUGUCUUCCGUAUUUCUGAGCUUCAUGCUCAGUGGUGAGGUGGGAUUUAUGUUGACUCUCCUUGUUCUUGCUUCUGGAAGAACUUUGUUAGAGAUGAACUAGGUGUUUUAGGGGCACAACAAUUGUGGAACCCAUGUUCCAUGCCUCCACAUCUAGAACAGCGAUCCCGCUGCUAAGAUGUUUCACCUGUGACCUUCUCAAAUCCGCUUUUACCCCCUUGGGAUGACACCUCUUUUCCCUUCCAUUUUCCCUUUUCACGGCCCUCUUUGUGGUUGCUAGAAUUCCCAGCAACGCUAGCAUAUGCUUCGGGCACAGUUGCCGUGUAGAAUGAUCGUUCUUGAGAACCUCAUUCUAUUGCUUUUGCAAUCAAUAUCAGCCUAUAGUACUUCGAGUACUUAUAUAUUGCUGAUAUAGUACUAUAUUGUCGGGAUGGAAGGUAUAAAAGAGUUUCCCUGAUCAUGUCUGCGUUAGUGAACUUCUGGCCACAUAGACGCGGUCUAGACACAAUCUUGUAUAAAGCAGAGUCGUACGCUGUUACAUACGUACAAUAUCGAAAAUGUAAGACGAUCCAGUCAUAUUGACUUCUGUUGGUUUAAAGCGGUCCUUCAGGGACUGCUGUGAAACCAUUGGAUCGUCUUCAUUUAUAUAUUCAGACUUCAGGUCUGAGUGUAAAUGAUAUUACAAAGAGUGCAAUGCCUCUGCUUUAUCAAGUAUUGUGCGCUCAUCAUUGCCAGCUUCAGGCUGAACAAUGGUGUAAUCAAGGCACCAGCCGUCGAGUUUUCAUCUCAACGUCAAUCCUCAAGUGAGGUAGCUGCUGUCAUUCACAGCUAGCUUAGCGAAUUCUAUCUUCGCAAUGUCCGACCAAUGACUAGUGAAUGUCGGUUACACGUAAUCUUCAGGAUUACGACCAUGUGUAAUCUUCAGGAUCACACAUUCUUAUAUAGUCUUCAGGACUAUAUUUCUCCAAAUAUCUCAUGCAUAUAAUCUUCAGGAUCAUAUGCGGUUCUCAUAAGUACUUGCAUAAAUAUGCAGAAAAUAAAUUAUUGCAAGGCAGUAAAUUGCAAUAAAUAGAUAUGAUUUGUAGUGAUAAUAAAAAACUUGCAAAUAAAAAUAAACAGUCAUGCCAUGUAAGGACUUCAGGCCUUAAUGAUUUUACGGGCUUCUGGCCACGUAGUGGUAUGACAUGGUGAACUGCAGGUUCACUACUUAUUGUUUGCGGGCUUCGGAUCAUAUGUAUGUGGCCUUUUGGCCUCUGUAUAUGGACCAAAAGUUCGUGGACACAAGGCUUUAGGCCUUUGUCUAGCGGCUUCAGGCCGUCUAGAUAAGUGGUUCAGUGCACAUAGAUCAAAAUAAAAAUGCCUUUGAUUGUAAUCUUUAGGAUUACAAUUAGGUGUAAUCUUCGGGACUACACCUUUUAUUUCCCGCAUGUAAUCUUCUGGAUUACCUUUAAUGGAGUAAAUACGUAAAAUUUAGAUACAGUAAGUAAUAACAAUAAUAACAAAAGAAAUAUGGUGGACUCCAGGCCACACAUGUUUCACGAACUUCGGGCCGUGUAUUUUGUAUUAUAGUGGACUUCAGGUCACCUUUUUUUUACGCAAAUAAUAUGCACUGUCCAUCCUAAAUGGGUUAACAAACCAAAAUCAUCUUUCAUGGGCCGACCAGAUCGGCCCAACCAAUUGUGGUCGUUCAUCACGAUGGACGGCCCAGAUUCACUCUGGCCUCAUAUAAAUAGGGAGGAUAAAACCCUAACCCUAUCCAUUUCCCCCCUCUUCUUUCUCUCUCUUCCUUAUCUUCUUCAGGAAGGCAGGAAGAGGUGCAGAUGGGAGGUGGCCAUGGCACGGCGGCCGGCCCGGCGCACGGCGGUGCCCUCGGCCUGGCGCGCGGCCCGCCCGCGGCUGGUCUGGCUCGCGACGGCGCCUGCGUCCUGGCUCGUGGCCCGCCCGCGGCAGGCCAUGGCGCACGGCACGCGGCACGACGGCGGCGGCCCUCGCGGCCUGCCGGCGGUCAGCCAUGUCGCGCGGACGGUGGCCAACUGGGACGCGACCCUCUCCCAGCGGCUUAGCAGGGGCACGCGGCCCCACAUCGGGCGGCCAGGGGUGCCCGACCCCGGCAGCGUCCGCGGCCAUGGCGCGGCCUGCCUGCGGCCGGCUUCGGCGGGCGGUGCGGCCUCGGCGGACAUAGGAGGGGGCAUGACCCCCGCGCGGCUGCAGCAGGGGCGCGGCUCCCGGUGGCGGCGCGGCCCGGCGGCGCGGCGAGUCGGCCAGGGCGCGCGGCCUCCGCGGCUCGUGGCCCAGCGCGCAGCAACUGCGGCCUGGCUCGCUCGUGGUCCGUACGGGGCAGCGCGACGCCCGCAGCCUGUGUGUCGGGUCUGCUAGGUUCGGACGCAGUCUUCGGGGCGGCGUGGUUCAGCUUGCUCAUCUUCAGGAUGAGGGCGAUUUGGUAUUCGUACGGCACUUCGAGGCCAACGUUCGAAAGGAUGGGUUUGGCACUUCUGGGCCAUCGUGAGAUUGCUUCGGGCAAUCUUCUGAGUAAUGGCUUCAGGCCAUGCUCAAAGAUCACCAUGGUGCUCGCAAGCAUAUCCACUGGUGAUGAGUUCGUGAUGUGUUCCUUCAUCACGUUUGCGUGGAACUGAUUUCUUACCUUUUUACCUUUUAGCUCAGUAGAACUCGUGCUGAUAACGUGUUAGAAAUCAGCUCUUUGCAAACACAAACACAGGACACAGGAAACAACAAGAACAGAGAGCAAUUGGGAGAAGUGAGAGCUCUUUCAUUCACUUUCUUUCUUCUUUCUUAUUUCUUACAUCUGAUGAGGGUUACCUCAUAUUUAUAGAGCAUGGAGUGUGUGUGAACUCAUUGACUUUCUCUUCCUCUCUCCAUUAAUUUGGCCACACUCAAAGUCUUCCAUUCAUACACUAUUCUUAGUCUUUGUAAAGACUUUGAUUUUCAACACUAACUACUGAAAAAAGUAGUGCACCAAUGCAUUGCAUAACCCAGUUAUGGACGUGCAGUAUUUAUAUAUUAGGUAACAAUUUGUUCACUUAACUGUGAAAAAGCUCUCUGUACUCUUUUGGUCUGACAUGCUGAUAUACUUUGAAAUCGCAAAGCAAUAUACAUGGAAUCGUAAAUAAGGACAGUGGGUCUAUCUGUUCCACGUCGCUCACGCCCACCUGCACCGGAUGCAGGGCAGGCCACCGCGCCGUUCGUCGCGGGCCUAUGCCCGUCCAUGGACCUGAUGCUGCUGGUGUCCAUGGAAGCGAUGGAUGGCGUUCUUGGCCUAGGAUGUAUGACGUGACCAGGGGAUGGAGGAUGAGGGAGAAAGAAAGAAUGACAUGUACCUUGGAUUCUCCAUACGCGGCGCAAAUCGGAUCCGCUGGAGGCAUCAGCUUGUACAGCGCGGCGUACGAUGUCCGACAGCCGGUGGCGGAGUCUUCUGUGGCGUCGAGGCAACAGGGGCGUUGCGUCUGGAGCGGUGCAUCCGUCUGGCGGCGGCGGCGGCAGGGGAGGGUCCGGGGCGGCGCUUCCGUUUGGCGAGGGAUGCGAGGCAGGAGCACGUGAGGGUGAGGAGUGGGUGAGGGGUUGUGAUUUCUAGAGCCUUGUUUAGGUCUAUUCAAAAAUCCAAAAUUUUUCAAGUUUCUCCGUCAUAUCGAAUCUUUAGACACAUGUGUGAAAUAUUAAAUAUAGACAAAAAUAAAAACUAACUGCACAGUUUGGUCGAAAUUUAUGAGAUGAAUCUUUUGAGCCUAGUUAGUCUAUGGUUGGACAAUAAUUACCACAAACAAACGAAAAUGCUGCAGUGUCACAAAUUUUUUUCGUUCGGAAACUAAAUACGGCCUAGAUAGAUUUUGAACACUACGGGCGGUAAAAUUUUUCGGGCUGAGUUUCACUGCCGCGGACUAUUCAGUUGUGGAGAUACCGCGGUCAGGCACACGUGGGCUGAAGAAGCGGCGCGACGCUAUCCGGGCAGCACGAUGGUGAAGCCAGUGCACGUUAAUGAUUCCUAUUUCUGUAAGAUUCGAUGUGAUGGAGAAUCUUGAAAAAUUUUGAAAACUAAACAAGGCCAUAGUUUGUUACCUCAAAUUCUGGUUUCAAUAUAAAUGGUGUUGGAUGCGUCCAAUGCCCAUAUCAAAAAUCCAACAGACCAUUUGGAUUGGGAUACAAUAAAAAUAAUAUUGAAUUCUCGGACAUGAAAUGUUCAUUCAGUGUAUGAACUCUUUUAAAUGAAUGGAUGGUCAGAAAAGUUUCGGAUGGAAGAGUUUUUUAGAAACUAAUCCUACUACUAAAAAGGCCGAAAGCAAAUCGUCGCCUGUCGCUCGCUCGCCCCGGCUGCCUCCUCGGUACAACCUGUGUUGCCUGCUGUCGCUGCUGCUCUAGCCGCUGGAGGCCUGCUGCUCUGCCUAGCGCCUAGCAUGGUGGUACUUAGGUCUACUGCCUAAGGCCUAGCAACAUAAUGGUUGAUAGAAAAAAUCAGACGUCUCAUACAUGUUGUAAAUCUAUACUCCCAUGUAUUAUGUAGGUGCCGGUUCUUAUGCACUCGAACUCAUGGACACACACCUAUUAAGGCCUUGUUUAGUUUCUAAGACAAAAAUUAUUAUCCAAUCAUAAACUAAUUAAACUCAAAAGAUUUAUCUCGUAAAUUACAGAUAAAGUAUAUAAUUAGUUUUUUUAUUUUAUUUAUAUUCAAUGUUUCAUAUACCGUAAGAUUCGAUAUGACAGAAAAUUUUAAAAUAAAUCUCGCAAAUUAUAGACAAAGUAUAUAAUUAGUUUUUUAUUUUAUUUAUAUACAAUGUUUCAUAUGCCGCAAGAUUCGAUAUGACGGGAAAUCUUAAAAUAAAUUAGAUUUGAGAGUGAAUUAAAUAAGGCCCUAGAUCUAUUUUUUUAUUUUGACACUAUAGCACUUUUGUAUUUAAUAAUAUUGUUCAACUAUGGACUAACUAGGCUCAAAAGAUUCAUCUCGCAAAUUAUAGGUAACUGUGCACUUAGUUAUUUUUUAUCUAUAUUCAACGCUCCAUGCAUGUGUGUGAAGGGGAAUCUUGAAAAAAAUUUGGAUUUUGGGAUGAACUAAAUAAGGCCUUAGGCGUGGUUUCUGUAGCACUUCGUUCAAAAAGUUUUGGACUAAUUAGGCUCCAAAAAUUUGUUUCACAAAUUACAGACAAACUAGACAAGCUAUAUAAUUAGUUAUUCUUUUAUCUAUACAAAUAUUGUCUAAUCAUGGACUAAUUAGGCUAAAAAGAUUCGUCUUAUAAAUUACAGACAAACUAUACAAAAUUAUUAUUUUAAUCUAUAUUUAAUGCUCUACAUGUGUAACUUGUUCUUAAAGACUUACUCUCUCCAUACUCAUAAAAUAAGUCAUUUUGGACAAGGUUUGGGUUAAAUAUUGAGAAUAUAAAUUAUAACUUUUAAGUCAUUGAGUUUGAAAAUAUGAAAACCUAUGAAUAGAUUUGUCUUGAAAAAUAUUUUUAUACCACUUUUUGAUAAAAUUUUUUUUAUAAAAUUAACAAGUUAAAGUUAGACUUUGAAGACCGUGCCAUUGUCUAAAACGACUUAUUUUAUAGGUAUGAAGGAAGUAUGUAAUAUUAUAUUUAUAUUUAAUUAUCACGGUUCCAAUAUAGGUUCUUACAUUAUAGAUAAUCGAAGUUGAUGUUUUAGUUUCGCAUUCAAAGUUAGAGUUAACUAUCUAUCUUUUUGAAUUCCCUGGAGGGGGUUAUUUUGGUAUUUUAUGUUCCCGUUGCAACGCACGGUAUUUACCUAGUAAAAAAUAAAUUACAUAACUCGUCAGAAAACUACAAGACAAAUCUAUUAAGCAUAAUUAAGUUGUCAUUAACACAUGUGGUUUACUGUAGCACUUAAGACAAAUCAUGGACUAACUAGGUUUAAAAGAUUCGUCUCGCAAUUUUCAACCAAACUGUGUAAUUAGUUUUUUUUAUUUAUAUUUAAUGUUCUAUGUAUGUGUCUAAAUAUUCGAUGAGAUAGAUAAAAAAAUUUUGAAUGGGGAACUAAACAGGACCUAAAUAAAUUUCGGAUGAAAGUGGAAGGGGGAAGUGAAGGGAGGAGGAGACAUGACGCAACGCGCGCGCACACAGACGGCCCCGGGCGGGGCAGCCACCGACGCGUGGCGUGGGUCCCGCGCUGCUGUCGUGUCGCUGCCAAGUGCCGAUCCCGCAACUCCCUCGCGGAACCUGUGAUGAGAUCCCCCACAUCACAUGCACAUGCAUGCGUUGCUGCUGCCCUCCCCCUCGCCUCUUUUUUCCCUUCUUCCUUCCUUCCCUGCGGCGCGCGGAGCAGCAGAUCCCCACACCUGACACCACCACAAGACCACACGAAAUAGGGUCUCGUUCCUUGAAGAAAAAAAUUUCACGACACAGUAGUAUUUUUGUUUGUUUCUAGUAAUUAUUGUUUAACUAUAGACUAAUUAGACUCAAAAGAUUUGUCUCGCCAAUUUCGACCAAACUGUGCAAUUAGUUUUUAUUUUCGUCUAUAUUUAAUACUCCAUGCAUGCGUAUAAAGAUUUGAUGUGACGGAGAAUCUUAAAAAUUAUUUUAAGUUUUUGGAUAGAAGUAAACAAGACCAGACAUUGUUUAGUUCUAUUUUUUAAAAAAAAAUGGACACAAUAACAUUUUCGUUUGUAUUUGAUAAAUAUUGUCCAAUUAUGAAUUAAUUAGACUAAAAAGAUUUAUGUCGUAAUUUACAGAUAAACUAUACAAUUAGUUUUUAUUUUUUUGCUAUAUUUAAUGUUCUAUGCAUGUGCCAUAAGAUUUGAUGUGAAAACAAAUCUUAAAAAAUUUUUGGUUUUUGAGAUGAACUUAAACAAGGGUAGAAAAGGAAAAAAAAAAGCAAAGGAGAAAAAAGAGGAAAAGCCAAAAGGGAGGCGGGCGGGGGCGGGUGGGCGCGCCAAGGGAGAAAAUAUGGCGGGAGCGGGAGGAGAGAGGCGCGCCGAUUUUUUUUAUAACCACUCCCGCGCGCGCGCCCCAAGGAUCGUCUGCGUCCACGUCCACGUCCGCGCGCGCUUUCACACGCUUGGCACUUCCCCCGCGCUUGCUUCCCUCCCCGCCGCGGGGGCGGGGUCGCUUCUGGGCUGCCGUCUCCCAGCUGGCCUUGUUCUGGGCCCCACUCCUCCUCCUCUCCCAGGCGAGAGGCGACUGCUCCCCGAUCGCGUCGUGGUCGUGCGGCGUCAGCAUGGCCGCAGGCAGCCGCGCCUGCUGCCUUUGGUGGAGGCCUCCCUACGCUUGUGUCAAGUGGAAUGCGUGCGACUUGAGGCCUUGUUGACUUCCCUUUUAAUAAAGCCUUGUUUAGAUUCAAUUUUUUUAAAAUUUUCAUACUAUAGUAUUUUUAUUUUUAUUUUACAAACAUUGUCUAAUCAUGAAGUAACUAGGUUUAAAAGAUUCGUCUCGCGAUUACAGACAAACUGUGCAAUUAUUUUUUGUUUUUAUUUAUAUUUAAUGCUUCAUAUAUUUGCCGCAAGAUUCGACGUGGUGGAGAAUCUUGAAAAGUUUUUUUUGUGUGUUUAGGGUGAACUAAACAAGGCCUAAAUCUCGAAAUCCGAUUAUAACUUUUCCUUAUGAUAUGAUCCUCUAGAUUAUUAUAUAAAUAACAUAUCCAGUUAAAACUUGUAACGUGAAUAUCCGAAUUUCUAUUCGUUUUUAUUAUGGAUACUAAUAAGUGGAUAUAUUUGGAUUCAUUUUUUUCCCGGUGUUUUUCUUUAUCCGCUUAGAUCCUUAUUCGGCAAGUCAAAACCCAUAUCCCGCAAAGGAAACAAGGUGAACCUACUUAAAAUUAUUCUCUUCAUAAUGAGUGACCAACUUUUUUUGUUUUAUUAUUACUAAUAAUGCAUUCGACCCAUUUCCUUGUAUAUCUAUAUAUAACUUUUACUUAUUAAUGAUACAUAAAGUUUAUAUUUUUUUAUUUGGUUUAAUCCUAAUAUAUUUGUUCUUUUAAAUUAUUUAUUAAUGCUUUAUUUAUUUUUUAUUUAUGUAAAUUAUUUUAUAUAAAUUUAUAAUUUCAUGAUAAAUAUAAUAUUGAUUGAUUAAUGGAUAUAUUUAAUUAUUAAACAUUUAUUGAUACUUAUGUUACUUUUAUGUGCUAUCCUUGUCUAUGCUGUAUACACAUAUGCUUUGUCUAUUUAUGCAGGGUGGUAAUAGUGUAAGGCGAUGGCACAUAGGGCAAGGUCAGGGAGAAUGGCUGAUGCUGCUUGUUGGAGGUGGAAGAAGGAUGGAUCCUUGAAUCUUCAUGCGUUGGCUCACGUGCCUAGUAUAUAUAAACCCUAAUAUAUUUUUAUGCAUUCCGCGCCAAAAAAAAUCAGAACAAAAUUGUAAGAUCCUUUUUGCAAUAGCUUCCUAGCGUGCUAGUUUUGUAAUGAUUCUAAUAAUAGAGAAGAAUACUGCAUUAUCUCUCUAUCUCUCCCUCUUUAGCAAGUGUUUUUCCUCUGACAUCUCCAUGUGUUAACGAUUUAAGCACAUCACUCUCAAAUAUUUACUUUUCUUGUAUUUACUAAGAUAUGGCGAUCGACCAUAUUCCCAAGAAAUGUUUUGUAGAGAUUUUAUUUCGUAGUACAAUUGUCAAAGGUAUUAAUGUAUUUCUCUCAAGAAAAAAGUUCCUAGGUUUUGCACUUGACACAUAAUCACGAAAUAUGUGAGUAUUAGUAUUGUUUUAAAUGAUUACAAGUUGUGUAAGGUAAGGCUAAAAUGAGAGAAAGGAGACGAAGACAUAGGGAAGCAGUGGGAAUGAUAGAUAAAAAAAAGAAUGUAUCCAUACAUGUGAGCUAGUUAAUCAAGCUUGCAUAAAGUACGGUAGCAAAACAACCCAAAAAACUAUUCUAGGUCAUUUGAAAGGUAUUAGGUAUUUUUAAGAGUUAUAAUGGGUUAUAUUUAUCGGAUUAUGGAGUAAACUCUCAAUAUGCUAGGGAGUCAUUUAGAUUUUUUUCUAUUAGGGAGAAUUGGCUGUAGGACAUGCAGAAUGGUGGCCAUUUGCCAGCGGACACUAGGAAAAAAUAGAUUGCUCAAAGACACUCAGUUUCUUAUCAAAUUUGCUGGCGGACACUACGUCUAAUCAAAUAUUAUUAUAAAAUAGAUAUAAAAUCAUAUAAGUGCUAAAAAAUUAUAGUAUAAAUUUUUUUACACUCUACAUGAUGAGAACUAUAGUGCAAAAAUAUUGUUUUGCACUGAAAUGACCAUUUUGCCCCUCUUCAUAAAUAGACAAAGAUAACCAUGGUUAAUUAGUUAAAAAUAUUAGUAAGAUACUAAAAAUACUAAAUAAUAUUUUUACACUAUAGUUCUCAUCAUGUAGAGUGUAAAAAAAAUUAUACUAUAAUUUCCUAGCACUUAUAUGAUUUUAUAUCUAUUUUGUAAUAAUGUUUGAUUAAAUGUAGUGUCCGCCAGCAAAUUUGACAAGAAACGAAGUGUCUUUGAGCAAUCUAAUUUUUUCUAGUGUCCGCUGGCAAAUGGCCACCACUCUGCAUGUCCCACAGCCAAUUCUCCCUUUCUAUUAUUAUGGACAUACAUUCAUAUAAUAUGACACGUCACCAAAAUACAUAAGGUUAUUUGCAUAUUUUAAUAUUUUAUUAAAUGACAAAAAAAAGUUCUAUGGCAUCUGUCCAGAUGGAUGAUCACCAAUAAUUAAGAGGUUAAUUAUACUUUUCUGACUGCACUCUCAAGUGCGUACUGGACUACUGGUUAACAUUUCAGGGUUGUAUCAAGAUAAGGGCGCUCUCAAUGCUAAAAAGCACAAGUAGUUUCUAUGUAUACUUAAUUCAUAUAGAUACUUCAUAAAAAUUAUGUUUCCAAUCCAUAAAUUCUACGUAAUAAUUUUUGUCCAAUCACACGUCUUCUCACUCACUCAUCUACCUAUCAUCGUGUAGAUAUGAUUUCUUAUUAAUUCUUCCUUUUUUUUCUUUAAUUGCAGUGUCAUAUCACAUUUUUUUUGCUUAGUUGACAGCUAAUUAAUACGCUCUUCGUUCAUAAAAGAAUUAAUCCCUAGAAUAUAUGCUUAUCAAACUUUUUUAAGUUUGACUAAUUAUAUAGAAAAAAGUAACAACAUCUAUGACAUAAAACAGUAUUGAAAAUAUAUUAUAUGAUAAAUAUAAUGAUACUAAUUUAAUACAAAAAAAAUUAAUAUUUUUUCUAGAAAUUUAGUCAAACUUAAAAAGUUUGAUUUAGAAUAAAUCUAGAAAUUAAUUCUUUCGUCGGAUGGAGGAAGUAAAUAAAAAAAUAUAGUGUUCCUAGGUGGAAAGUGGCCUGUGUACACCAAAGUGAAUAAAUGAUCGCAGAAGCCGGAUUGCUCGUGAGACGCACACAAUUCGUGCGGUCCAAACUCACGCGCGAAACUCAAUCCCCAAAAAUGCUACGCGCACCCAGCGUACUCACCCGUCCCGCAUCCCCACUCCCACUGCUUCCGGGCCCCACAUCUCCCAAACACACACGUCAUCGUCGGCUCCGUCCCCAAGUCCCACCCACCACACAAACCGCCCUGCGUCCUCGUAGCAUUUCUCACACCCUCGACCAGGGGCCAGUCGUCAGAUGCCCUCCACGUGGCACGCUCCGGCAUCCCCGCCCUCCACGCCCCGCUGCCCGCGGUCACGCGGACUCCCAGCGCUGGCCGUCCGAUCCUGCCCUUCGCCGCCAGUGGACGGCCCAGAUCCUGCCCGGCCCCGCGCGGGCAGCCCCCGCGCUGCUAUUAAAGGCACCCCCCAUUCCGCUCCUCACCUCACCUCCUCCUCGUCCCGCAACGCAAACCAGCAUCGCCGAACGGGUCGCGCCCGCCCGAGCCCGAUAAGCCCGCGAAGCCCAGGCCCACCCGCGAAGCGAUGCGACGGAGGAGAUCGUGAGAUCGCGCGCCGCCGCCGCCCCGCUGCCGCCGGCGAUGACCUCCGCCGUCCUCGCCGGCCGGAAUGAGGUCCACCACGCGCACCCGCACCACCACCGCCACUGGGGCGGCGCCCGCGUCCCCCUCAUGCCCAAGCCGUCCUCCAACCCUAACCCUAGGCGCCACCACCGCCCGGGCCCAAACCCUAUCCCCACAGGCUCGCCGCCGCCGCGGGCCGUCCCGGCGGUCGCGGCCGAGCCCCUGCCGUCGUCAUCGGGGCACGUGAAGUUCAGGCCGUCGGAAAUGACCCCCGCCGAGGCCAGCCUUCUCCGCGCGCGGCUCACCGGCGAGCUCGGCCGCGUCCGCGCUUUCCUCUCCCGCAUCGACUCGUGGCAGGACGGGCAGCGCCGGCGCCGGCGCCCGGAGCCCGAGCACGAGCACGCGCCGGAGCCCCCCGUCGGGCGCCGCUCGUCCCCGCCGCCGGCGCUGGUGGAGGCGAUGCGGAAGCGGUGCGCGGACAUCCUGAUGCGGCUGCGGAGAUCGAAGAAGAGCGUGUGGUUCAACUCCCCCGUCGACGUGGAGGGCCUCAAGCUGCACGACUACCGCGCCAUCAUACGGAGCCCCAUGGAUCUCGGCACCGUCAAGCAGAACCUCACCGCCGGCCGGUACCCUUCCCACGAGGCGUUCGCUGGCGACGUCCGGCUCACCUUCAACAACGCGCUGCGGUACAACCCGCCCGACCACCACGUGCACAGGUACGCCGGCAACCUCCUCGCCUCGUUCGAGGGGAUGUACAAGGAGGCCGUCUCGUGGUUCGAGCAGCAGCGCCAGCAACUCGAGCCACCAAUGCAGCUUGAUCUGCCGCCACCGCCACCACCACAGAUGCCAGUUUCUGUGCCAGUGCAAGCGCCCCAGAGGAUGGGGGGUGGGAGGAGGCCCAAGCCCAAGGCGAGGGAGCCAAACAAGAGGGAGAUGGAUGAGGAGGAGAAGCAGAAGCUGAGGGUGGAGAUUGAGAACCUGCCUGAGGAGAAGAUGCUGAAUGUGCUGCAGAUUGUGCAGAAGAGGAACAGUGAUCCAGCAUUGACGGGGGAGGAGGUGGAGCUUGAUUUUGAUGAGCUGGAUAUCGAGACCCUGUGGGAGCUUGAUCGAUUUGUGGUCAAUUGGAGGAAGGCGCUAAAGAAGAGCCAGCGGAAUUCUAUGAUGAAUGGUGAUGCUGCUGCCAUGAAUGGAGACGCCAUUGAUGUGACAAUUGUUCCGGAUGAUGAUGACAUGGUCGAGGUUGCUGUCAAUCCGUCUGUGGUGGUUGAAAUUGGAGAGUCGGUAUGUCAUUCUGAAGCAACCUUAGCUGUCUCUAUUUUGUAGUUUUCAUGAACCAGUUAUGUUUGGACUUUGUUCUAAUGUUGAUCCUGUUUUUUGUCUCCUAUUUCAGGAGACUGACAUUCCAAAGAAGAGGGAAAUGGAAGCGGAGGACGAGUAUGUUGAUAUAGGUGACGAGAUGCCAACGGUGAAUUACCAGUCGGUGGAGAUUGAGCCAGAUUCCCCGGCAGCUAGCAGCUCAAGCGGAUCAGGAAGUGGCUCAUCUUCAUCCAGUGGUACGGUGGAGCAAAUGAGUAUUUGUCACCACAAAUGCUGAGUCAUCGAUUGAGUAUCUCUUUAAUUCAUUAUUUGAAAUUCGUUGCAGAUUCUGACUCGGACUCUGAAUCUGAUGGGGAUGAUGCAAGCGCCCCGCACUAGGUGGUUGCUCUUUUAUCUGACUGUAGGAUUAGUGAUGAGUAGGUGACUGAGGUUCCAUUGGGUGAGGCAUUUUGAAGAAUGGUAUAGCAAAUUGGAGGGGCUCUUGUUGAUGCAAGUCGUUGUCAGGUGUGUUCGUUUGUGUAUGUGGGUGCAGCUUAGGUUGUCGGUACUUGGUAGUGAAUAGGUAGAUGCUUGGGUAGAUUGGGAGACUACUGUAAAGAAGGGAAUAUAAUCUGGAAUGGAACUAAGAGGAAAAGUAGCAAUGCCUUGGCAUUUCAUUAUGUCUGUUGCUUUCUUUGUACAUGUUUAUUACUGCAGUAGCCGAUCUAUUGUGCACAUCUGUCUUCUUAAUGUUCAUCUGACAUCACAAACUACAUCAAAAAAGAGUUUGCUGGAAUGUCUUAAUUUGGUGCCAAAACACUGAAACAGCCAAACAGACUAUGGUACAUUGAUCCUGGUGCGAAUUGCUGUCAUGCUAAUGUUUUUUGCCUAUUGCAGAAAUAUGUAUAUGUUUGACUGACUAUUAUCUUCUAAAUGUUGCUAAAUAUUGUAAUCCUGAUUGUCAUCAUUAGCAUACCGCUGGAAGUGUUUCCUUUACAUAUUUGCUCAAGUCAUAACUUUAAUCUGCAACUGUCUUUGCUGCGACAUCUCAGCAUGAUCUCACCUUUCUAAUCUGAAUAUCCAGGUUGAGACUGGUAUUCUGGCAUGUGUUAGAACAUCUUCUGUAUUCAAGGAACUGUUUGGAUGCUGCCCUCGCCUGGUACUGCCUGCUAGGCAAGCGAGGCGCUCGAAAUCGAACGAUUUCGAACGCCUGGGAGUGAUGCCUGGCGCAGGCAACUUUCACACGCUGCAAUCUAAACAGCCCCCUCCCAGAUUGCCUUGGCAUUUCAUGAUGUCUGUUACUGCAAUUGCCUUUCGCACAUACUACCUCAAAAACCAAAAAGUUUUCAAGAUUUUCCGUCACAUCGAAUCUUGUGGCACAUGCAUGAAGCAUUGAAUUUAGACGAAAUAAAAAACUAAUUGCACAGUUUACCUGUAAAUCACAAGACGAAUUUUUUUGAUACUAGUUAGUCCAUAAUUGGAUAAUAUUUACCACAAACAAACGAAAGUGCUACAGUAGCGAAAUCCAAAAAGAUUUCGCAUCUAAACAAGGCCUUAGUAUGUUUUAUUAAUAUUUCCUUUUGACAUUACAAGGAAGAGUUUGCUGGAGUGCCUUCAUUUGAUGCCAAAACACUAGAACAGACCAUGGUACAUUGAUCCUGGUGCAGUUGAUUGCAGAAAUAUGCAUGUUGGAAACUCUGGCAUGUAUUGUAAUGUCAAAAAACUACAUCAGGAAGAGUUUGCUGGAAGUGUUUCCUGUCAAUUCUCACUUCUUGAAAAGACAAAUAUUUUUAACUUUAACAAAAAUCCACAAAUAAAUGCACAUCUCGUUUCCAAUUACCAAUUCCGGGCGGUGUGCUUAGAGCAACUCCAGUCCACCUCCUAAACAAGUCUUUAUUUUAAAUAUAAGGACUUGAUCUAAAAAAAUUAACUCCAACCCACCUCCUACUUGGGCUCUCAUUUUUCAUGCCCUCAUAUCUGGAACCCCUAUCCAGUGGGUCCUACCCACUUUUCUCUCCUCACCCAUAAAUCAAGACAAGAAUUACAAAUGGUGGAGUUGAUGUAGAAUUUUUCAAUGACAGAUGAGUCUCAUAUGAGAUAAGGACUUGGUAUGUUUUUUUUAUUUGAGUUGGAUCUUAAUUUGAGCCCCUACUUUUUUUAUUAGCCUGUAAAUAAAAGUUUAAGGCUUAAUUUAAAGACUUGGGCUAAAGUUGCUCUUAGAGGAUAAAGCCCGAUGCUUUUUCUUUCUUUUCUAUGAUAUGCAAGUGCUAACUAAAUAAAUCAAUGCAAAAGAAAUUCAUUUAGCAUGACCCCCUAACUUCAGUCAGUCUGGUAAGAAUGGUAAGAAAGGGUUCUAAGCGGCGCAAAAAAUAGGUAGAAAUAACAUAUGUAAUAUGUAUUAUUAGAUUGAGUAUGAAAUAUAUUUUUAUAAUAUAAUUAUUUGUAGAUAUAAAUAUUAAUAUUAUUUGAUAUAUUUUCUCGGGAAAUGAGAUGUGCAUUUAUUUUUAGAGGGAGGAAAUACUAAUAUUUGUGGCACAAAAUAAAACACCAUUAAAUUCAUUAUAUAAAAUAUUAUAGAAAUAUUAAUACUAUUUUUUAUAAACUCAAUCAAACUUGCUAUUUUUUAUACAUAAUUGUAUUCUUUUACAAAACGAAUAGUACUAUAUUGCCUGCAGACAGAGUACGCUUUGGUAGCUGAGAUUUUUGUUAGAUCUGACAGCCGCUUUGGUAUCUCUGCUCGUUUUACGUAGCCAAUUUGUUUUUAAUCGCUAGAGUUCGAGCUGUCAUUUCCCUUCCAUUUUCUGUCCUGUAUGCAUGGAACCAGUGUCGUUUCGGAAGCUUUGCCCAUGGCCACAGUUGCUACCUGCUAGUCUGUUCGGCAAAUUCUAGGGGACACAAGCCGACGGUUGCUACUCUAUUCGGCAAGUGCCAGGGAGCAGCCGCUUCUAACAAACGAAAGAGGAAAACCAAAGUAUGGCAACACGAAAUGGGAAACGUAAGGGUAAAUCGAGAAAUCACUGCGUUAACGCAACGGUCACAAUAUUGUAAUACUUGAUAACAGAUACCAAAACACCAGUACCGGUACCACAACACAAAACAAAAUAACUCAAAAUUUCACAGGAACAGCAGUUCAUUCUCUCUUUCUGCAUCCCUCUCAUUCGUCUUCAGCCAUCACCCUCUCAUUCGUCUUCAGCCAUCACCAAAAGUGUCCUCGCAGAAUCCCGCCGGAUUCAUCUUCAAUCAUCACCAAACGUGGUCUUCUUUCCUGUGCAAAUAAGAGGACAUACAGCAGUGAGCUCAAAGAAGAGUUAGAAAACUUGCGCCAGUCAUGGCCAAUAGGUAUCGCAGUGCUGCGGAAUGUUGCUCAAACCAAAAUGCAGUGAACUUUAGAAGUACAGGAUGAAUUCCACCUGCACUAGGAGUGCCAGCAUUCUGCCUUCCAAAGCCACGGCCGCCGCCACCACGUCCACGGCCACCACCAUCCCUACCACCACGUCGUCCACCAAAUCUACCGCCACCAUCCCUGCCCCCAGAUCUGUCACCAAAUCUGCCACCGCCACCACGCCGGCCACCAGAACCGAAUCUGCCACCAGAACGGUCACCAAAUCUGCCACCACCACGCUGGCCAUCGCCUUUUGGCUUGGCUUCAUCAACAUAAAGCUCAUAGCCACCACCAAUGUCAGUGCCACUGAGCUCAAUGGCUUUGGACACUGAAUCCUGAUCCUUGAAGUCCAUGUAAGCCAUUCUGCAGAGUUAAGAAAGAUUAGCAAUUAUAAACCUAAACUUCACAGAUUGAUAGUUACUGGGAUGUUGCUGUUUUUUGUAGCAAAACCCACCCUUUGAUUGCACCAGACUCAUAAUCAGUCGGGAUAGAGACCCUUGUUAUGUCACCACAUUUUUUAAAAUGUUCUUGGAGAGCGCUUCGGAUCUGGAUUCAUUGUCAAACAUUGGCAUGAAAUUUCUUGAGAUAAAAAUAUAGCUAAACAAAAGAAAUUACCUCAUCCUCCGAAAGUUCUUUAUCAAAACCACGGACAAAUAUCGAGUUGCUAGUUCCCCGAGCUGGCUUCUGGAAAGAUCCAUCAUUGCUGUUACAGUUCACCCAUCCGAUACACAGUUAAUAACAAUGGUUCAGGCAUCACAAAGUGCACCGUAAUGCUCUUAAGAAACAUUAAGAUCAUCUUACCCGCUGCGAGGAGUUUGUGUAUUUCUUCCCCCCUUGGCAAAAUCAAGUCUUACUUCACGACCCUGCAACUCUGUUGAUUGCUUCUCUUUAAAUGCCUGCUAGAAAACAAUCCAUUAGAUAUCUUGUUCAAUUGCAUAUUUGCAACUAUAUCACUCAGAAGACAGAAUUUUAAGCAGAAAACGAAAUCCCAAAAUACAAUACAUAUAUAGUAAAAAUAACAUUACCUUUUCAGCAGCCUCAGCUGAAACAAAUUCAACAUAGCAAAAUCCUUUACGAUGGCCGUCCUCAUGUGUAGGAAAACGAACAUCAACAACCUCACCAGCAUCCGCAAAAAAUUCUUUCCUGCAAACAUUAGUAUUGGAACAACGGCUGCAAAAAAUAGUUCAAUAUAUAAUGUGUCCCCUGAAGCCAAACUUACACAUCUUCAAAUUCAGCUCUCCAGGGGACGUUUGCCAUAAAAAGUGUCUUGACCUCCUCCGUUGCUUCGUUUUGGGAGCCCAUAGGUGUUUUAGGCUGCCAUAGUAUCAAAAUAUAAAUGUUGCAUCUAUGUAACUUCAUUCAUUAAAAGAACAAAAGCCCAAAGUCACAGAUUCAUACUUCUUUGGUAGCAGUUUGCUUUUCAGAGGCACGCACAGGAGCUUCCUGUGUUGUUAAAAUUCAAACAAGAAUGUCAUAAAUGCAAAUUCAAACAGAUAUAGUGAAACGUGUCCAUUCAAAUUAUGAGUCUCACUUCAAUUUGUGCAGUAACAAGUGAGAAAAUACCUUCUUUGGAGUAUUAGCAGGCUCGUCACUGUCUUCAUCACUAUCAUCUUCAGAAGAUUCAUCCUCAGAUCCACUGCUUGCUGAUGCUUUAGGUGCCUGAUAAAGCAUCUAGUUAAUAAUGGUUCACAUUAAUAACAUGCUGCCUACAUCCAAGAAUUUGUUAAGUACCUUCUUUUGUUCAGCUUUUGUAGGCUCAUCAUCAGAACUUUCCUCAGUACUUCCAUCCUCAUCCUCACUGCUGCUUCCAUCCUUUGUAGCUGAAGGUGCUUCCUAUUAACAGAAAAAAAACAAUGUCAACAAUGGAACAACAGUAAAAGAAUAAUGAAAAUAUUAUGCAAAAAAACAAGUUGAGUAUUUGCAGCACCUUCUGCUUCUUUUGGGGAGGUUCACCAUCCUCAGUGUCAUCACUUGAUUCAUCUUUAAUUUUUGCAGCAGCUCUCUUGGCAGGCUGAGUUUUACUUGCAUCCUAAUGAGUUUAGAAAUAAGGUGAACAAACUGGCAUAAUGCAUAACAUGCAAAUGUUCAACAAAAAAUGUUUCACAUACCUCAACCUCAGAAUCACUCUCUGACUCACUUCCACUGGAAUCUUUUUUGGUAGCCGCUGCAGGAGCCUUAGACUUAGAAGGCACAUCCUGAAAAUAAUCAUGUUACAACUCAAAAAAUGCUUAACCAUGGAAAUUAUUGCACAAACUAUGGUGAAGGACAAUAACAGGAUAUACAAUGGUUACCCGAAAUACAUGUGAAUAAACAAACACAAUGCACACACCUCAUCUGAGUCAUCAUCAGAGUCGCUCUCAGAAGUAUCCUCCUUUUUCUUUUGUGCAUCAAUCACAGAUGGUUUCUUUAGAGGGGCAGCAGGUUUCUGAAAAAAUGCACACAGAGAAGCGAUACCAUCAGCUGGCUAAGCUAAAUAAGCAUCUCAGGGCACACAGCAUAAUGAGUCAGGAAUCAUAAGAUGACAAAUCAGUAAAUACAUAUCUACAUGUUAUGGCAUUGCAUCAGAAAACUUAAUGAAAAUGCUAUUAUUAAUCUUACAGUAAAAUGGUAUUAAAGGCAAACAAGCAUGGAUGUUCCACUCACAUCAUCAUCAUCUGACUCAUCAGAAGUGUCCUCAUCGCUGCUGCUUUCUUGCUUGCCUUUCUUCAAACCAUUUUUGGCAACAGCACCCAUGGGUUUAGCAGCAGCCUUCUUUGCAGGUUCCUGAAUCAAAAGAACAUGAGUUGGUAGCUCAACAUCUGAAAAGUACAUUCAAAUAAUCAAUGUGUUUGCUGGCAAUUUGUCCUAGAUUAGUGACAACUAAACACUAAUCUGUGCUGUCAUGGUGGUAAAAUGGAAUUAACUGUGCACAAGACCAUAAGACAAACAGGAAACUUCAACUCACAACGUCAUCUGACUCAUCAUCAGAACUGUCCUCAUCACUGCUGCUCUCUUUCUUGGCUGUCUUCGAACCAUUUUUCACAACAGCAGGCUUCUUUGCGGGUUCCUUAAUGAAAAGAUGAAUUAGCAUCUAAAAAUCCUCUGAAAAACUACAUUCAAUGAUUCAGUUUCCUGGAUGCUGAUUCAUUAAAAACCACCCAAUCGACGCCAUACCUCAUCAGAUUCAGAGGUCGCGUCACUGCUGUCAUCAUCACUGGACUCUUGUUUAGCGAUCUUAGCAGCAGGCGCCUUCUUUGGUACCUUAACCUGUAGAGACAUAAGUUAACUAUGUUACAGAAGAAGAAACUUCGAUUGAUAAAAAAUUGUCACCUUUACAAGCCAUACUCAGACUGAGAUUCUGCAUGCAGCUAUUUCUGUCUACCCUCCCCACCUCAAUCAAAUCAUUAAAAAUUCUAAAAAUAAAAAAUCCCGUACCCGCCACAUACGUACAAGAAAAACAAGAACAAUCACCACCGCAUACCUCCUCUUCAGACUCGGAGUCCUCUUCGGAGCCACUGCUGCUGCUCUCAACCUUCUUGGGGGGCGGCUGCUUCUUGGCCUUCUUGGCGUCCUUCUUGGACGGCACCACGGCCUUCGGCGGUGGCGCCGCCUUCUGCUUCUUCGCGCUCACCGCCUUCUCGAUCUCGUCCUCCGCCUCCCGCUUCUUCCCCUUGGGCACCGCCGCGGGCGCCGCGGCAACGGCCGCCGCCUUCUUGCUUGACUUGCCCAUCGGAGGAGAGGGAGAGGAGGCGGGGUGGGAGCGGAGAAACCCUAGUGGCUGCUAGGGUUUUAGGGGAGGAGGGGAUUCGAGGAGGAGGCGACGGAGGUUGUUUAUAGGCCGCAGUGGUCGGGUUCCAUGGGCCUUGCUGGGCUUGUAUAUGAGCCUUUUUUUGCCUGUGCGGGUCACGGUCUUGGUGGCAAGAGUAGAGCCCAAACAAAAUGUUAGUUUUAAACAAAGGAAGCGGCUAAUGCACGGCCGUGCAUGCGUUAAGCAGGCCGCACGCACACUCCGUAAUAGGAAAAAACCAUCGACCCUCACUUGGAAAAAACCUUCAACGCGGGCACAAAAUCACGUCAAUCAUGACCCCGCCUAGACAAGGCCCGCCAGAAGGCUAGGCUCACGCCCACUUUCCUGUUUUGCUUUUCCCUCACCUGGAAGCUUCUUCCCCUCUUCCCUGUUUUGCUUUUCCCUUUCAACCCUCAAAACAAAAGAUGCCCAUGGCGGCGCCGCCACCAUCUAGGCAGCUGGCAGAUUCAUUCAAAACAAAGGCAAACUAAUACAUCCAAAACAAGCAGGUACGUGCGAUUGUGCAAUAACUUGGUACUAUCAACUUCUUCUGCCACUACUUUCAACAAAAUAGUCUCAAAAUAGAACUAGCCAGAUCUGUUACUAGAAGGUUUCUUCUGCCAGAUUUGUUCUCUUGAAUCACCUAACUAGCCAGAUCUGUUACUCUGUAAGAAAUAGCAGAUCUUAUCCUAACUUUUGAGCAAUUCACUACUUUUGCAUAAAAGCAAAAAUCAGUUGUUUUGCAUAAGCAAUCCAGAUCUCUUGUAUCACAUAGUACUAUAGUUUCUACUACAUUAGCAGAUCUGAUACUACACCACUGUACGUCUUGGGUACCCAUUAGAUGACAUGUGUAUAUGUUGUAUGCACCACACAUGCAGAUGUACAUCUUUCUGCAUUAAAAAGCUUCUUGUGUUAGCUGCUGCACAUGGUUACUCCUAUACAUUAAACUUUCUUGUGUUAGUUGCUGCACAUAGCCUCACCCCUGCAAAAUUAAACAAAAGUACAACUGAUAAAAUCAACUAAGUAGAUGACAAGCAAGCCUCAAAUUACAAAACUUUCUCUAAAAGGAAGAGAACACAAUGACACUAGAUUUGUAAAAAAGUUGAAAAAACUGAAUAUGAAAUAAAUUAUAAACCUAAAAGCAUGUACUGAAUAAAAGCUAGCAUGUAUUCAAAUACAAAACAAAAAAAAGCAUGUACUUAAACCAAAAAAAACUGCAUAAGUUGCUGGCCUAUUUUGUCUAGUUUUGUACAAUAUUAUUGCCUAACAGGUUUGACUAAGUUGCCUACUGUCAUGAUAUAGUAACAGACACCUAUAGUUAAUGUUUUGCAUGCAGAUCUCAAAAAGAUAUGGAUCUUAACAAGCUGCCACCAGAUUUAGAUGAAGAUUUCUUGGGUGCAUUUGAUUUUGAUUAUAUAACCAGCAACCCUACCUUCUGCACUCAAGUGUCCACAAAUCCUGAAAUUCCUCAGCCUAACAAUGAGCAUAUGAACCAGCAGAUUUUGCCUGGUAUUUCUGAAGAUGGUCAUGCUGGUUUAGCAGAGACAGAACCUGCAGUUUCAGAAGAGGUUAUUCCUACCAUUUCUGAGAUCAGAUUGUCAUUUGAACAGGCAAGAAUAGAGGACAAGAAUGAAGAUUCUACUACUAAUCCUGUAGUUGCUGAAGUAGCAGAAGAGGAGGAAGAGGUGUGGUCUACACUUGAAAUGCCACACAAUGGGAUGUCUUUUGCAACCUUGGAUGAAGCAAGGGAGUACUACAACUCGUAUGCAAAGAGAACUGGCUUCUCAAUUAGAACAAACACGUCACGUCGGUCUGCAAUCACGAGAGAAAAACAAAAGGUGCAGUUUGUGUGCAACAAGGAAGGCUUUGGCAGGAAAAGGAGAGUUGUUGCUCAGCUUGUUGAUGGAAUCACUUGCUACUCUGACAAUGAUGAAGCCAAAGAAGAGGAUACUGCACAAGAAGAAGAGGAUGAGCAAGUAGAAAAGAGGAAGAAGUUUGACGGAUGUAAGAAAAGAAAGAGGGAGAAAAUGCUAUAUACAAACUGUAAGGCAAGGUUGGUAGUCAAAAUCAUUGGCUCUAGAUGGCAAGUAAUCUAUUUUUUGGCCGAGCAUAACCAUGAUCUUUGGUUCAGCCCUCACUCAAGAAGUUCCUAAGGUCCCAUAGAGGCAUACCGAAGCAGGAAAAAGACUUCAUUGUUUUGCUACAUGGAUGCAACUUGAGCACCGGUAGAAUCAUGCAGCUGAUGAGCGAGUUCUAUGGCUCAGCACAGCUGGUUCCAUAUGACGGCAAACAAGUUUCAAACUUCCGCUCCACCAUCCACAAAACAGAAAAAUUCAAAGAUAUGCAAGAAACUGUGGAUUACUUCAGAGCAUUGAAAGAAGAAGACCCUGAAUUCUUCUACAAGAUCAAGCUUGAUGACAACCAUAGGGUUGAGAACCUGUUUUGGGUUGAUUCAGCUACAAGGCGUGCUUACAAAGAGGCAUACAACGAUUGUGUCUCAUUUGAUGCAACCUAUAUGACCAACAUAUAUGAGAUGCCUUGUACACCAUUCAUAGGAAUCAACAGACACUGUCAAACUUUUCAACUAGGAUGUGCCUUUAUAAGGAAUGAGAAGACAACUACCUAUGAAUGGUUGUUUCUAACAUUUCUAGAGGCAAUGGAUAGAAAAGCACCCCUUAACAUAACCACCGAUCAAGAUCCUGCGAUGAGAGCUGCCAUUUGCAUUGUGUUUCCAAACACAACCCACAGGAAUUGCAGGUGGCAUAUCAUGGACAAGUUUUCAGGCACAAUUGGACCAAUCCUUGCUAAAAAUGAUGAGUUGAAUGAGGAGUUUGUGGAUUGCUUAAACCACACUGUAAGCCCAGAAGAUUUUGAGUCAAAGUGGGCUACUAUGGUCUAGAAAUACGGUUUGGAGGACAAUGAGCAUUUUCAACACCUAUACCACAUAAGGCAGAGCUUCAUACCAGCCUACUACAUGCACAGUUUCUUCCCAUUCCUCCAGUCGACUCAAAGGAGCGAGGGGUUCAAUGCUUUGUUGAAGAAGUAUGUGAACCCAAACUUGUCAGUGCUACAGUUUGUGAGGCAGUACCAGAAAAUACAAGAAAAGUGUCUGGUUGCACAGGAUGGGCAAGACUUUAGGACCGAUGAGAAUGAGCGAAGACGAUGGUCAAGGCAUCCACUUGAGAAGCAUGCUUCCACUGUAUACACAAAGAAUAUGUUUUACAGGUUCUCCAAAGAGUUUGAGAAAACUGCAGAAUAUGAUGUGAAGCCUAUAGGGCAAUUCCAAUAUUGGUUGGAGCCCAAUAAUAGCUUUGUUUUUGGGUAUGGAAAAAGGAACUAUCUUGUUACAGCAAUAGAAGAGGAUGAAAGCUAUUGCUGCGAGUGCAGCAAGUUUGAUAGGGAUGGAAUCAUUUGCUGCCACAUUAUGAGAGUUAUGGUUAGAAUGGGUGUGAAAUUAAUACCAGAAAGGUACAUCCUUAAAAGGUGGACGCAACAAGCAAUUGCUAGUGAUACUAAUCAGGUCCAAAAUGUGAAUGCACCAGUGGGGCUUGUAGCUCGUGGGAUGCCAUUGACUAGUGAAAAAACUUUGAGAUUGACCAAUGCAACCACCGCGUUUGCAGCAAUAGCAGUGGAAGGUUGUACAAAUGAUGAAAACUAUGCUAUUUUGGAGAAGCACAUCAAGGAGAUGCGAUCUGAAUUUGAAGAAAUUAAGAAAAGGAUGAUGGCAAAUAGGCAAAACACUAGUGGUACAAAAGGUGCACAAAAUGGUACAGGUGUCUCUACUCUAACUGGACUUUCAUUGCAAACUGCAGGUUUAAAAAACUAGACACUAUAUUCUGCUUUACUUCAUCUUUGUACGCUUGUACUAGAUUGAUUAGUUGCUUAUUGCAUUUCACAUUGUAGGUGCAAUGGCUGGUCCAAAUACAUCAAGUGUAGCGAACCCCCCAAAAUCAAAAGCUAAAGGGCGCAGGAAGGAGAAGGCACACAAAAAAGGGAUGAAUGGUCAAGCGAAGAGGAAGAAUAAGUGCAGCAUUUGCAAAUCAUAUGAUCACAAUGCAUAGAGAUGCCCGGGCAAACUAAAAAAAAACAGUUUCUUAGUGGGAAUGCAUACCUAGCAAAUAUUCAUUUUACAUCUCCAUGCAAUAUUGUUUUCUGGAUGUUGGAGCCAUUUGUAUGUGAGCAUCUUUCGAAUAGUUGGCAUAUCUUUUUCCUUAAACUCUGGCAUGUUAAGACCAUUCCAGUGUUCACAGUGCAUUAGCAUGUGGAACCCGCAAUCAUGACUGCAAAAAAAAGUCAUAAUCAUAUGGAGGAUGACAGAAACUUUAGAUAUGAAAAUAAUAUGUAUGUUGAACUGUUGACCUACUUGUUUGACUGCAAUGGAACAUUAAUAUCAAUCAGUUGGUACUUGUCAAUAUUCUUCCUUGAAUUAGGGUAAUGUUUGCGCCAAAGUUCCUUAAUUGCAGUGAUCAAAUUGUUGCAGCAUGUCUUCAAGUUAAUGUCAGCGAGAGACCUCAUAGAAUCGAGAACUUCAAACCUUUCUUCCCUUAGGUUCAACACUAGAAGGAAGAAGUGGCCCACUGUUCUAUCAAGCCUUUUGAAACGAAUAUUUUGCAAUACAGGAAACAUGACCUACAAAAAAAAUGCUAGCAAAAAAAUGAGAAUAGCUACUAAAACCAAAAAAAGCUUCAUAGCAUCUAUAUUGCCAGAAAAAACAUAAUCCUUGAGUGAUAUAACAGCUAGCAGGCUUCUAAAAAAAUAAAAAUAAAAAAGAUGGUCGUGAAUCAAAUUGAGAUAUGGACAAUUUAACAUAGGCACUACCUGUUGUUCUCUGCCCCUACACAUGUCAUAUUUUGUUAUUUUCUAUAAAUUGCUCCACAAAUUUUAGAACACGAAAACAAAAAGUUAUGAUGGUAGGACACCCAAGAUUGCAUAUUUUUUUUUAAAAAAAAGUAUAGCCUAAAAUGAAACAAUAUUAUAGCCUAAUGAACAUAGUUAAAUUGCCUAUUUUGAAAAAAAAAGAAGAGGAUUAAGUGGACGAUCAAUUAUCAAUUGAGAACGGUCUAGGUGAUGGAGGCUUCUUUGGAAAGCACUAUUAAUCUCCCCAUUAUCCAGAAUCCCAUCUUGUAGAAAAGACUCUAAAAAAAAGAAUUAAAAAAUAAUGUUAGAGAAAAAAGUGCUUGUUUGAAAAAAAUAAGCAUACAAACUUAGAAACAUCAGUACAAGUAAAAAAGAAAAAGGGGGGAUUCUCACAGCUAUUCUUAGUGGGAGUAUUUGUUUUACAGGGAUCUUGGCCUUUCUGUCUUUUAAUGCAUAUAUAGCAAUUUCAGCUACUGUGUUGAAUAAUUUUCCACCUGGUUUAACUGAUUCAGAAAGGUGCUUCAAGCUCACAUAGUAAUCUGGAUAACUGAUUAUGAUAUCGCUGCGUACAACAUGGAUGGAUCAUAGUUAAAAAAACAAAAUACAAAAUGAAUUCGAGAGUUUAACAGACGGAAAAACUAGCAAAAAAGAAAAAGUUGCACAUACUCUCCUUGGCUUGAGCUUUGACUCGAACUCCUGGUUGACCUUGGUUGACCUUGUAGUGGCCGAGCAUACCACAUCAUAUGCAUGACUUGCAACCUUGCUGCACUUCAAGUCAUUUCUGCCAUAAUCAAUAUAUGGGGACUGCAAAGCACGCCCUGGUCGUGCUGGCCUUCUGGGCGGAGGUUGAUACGCAGGGGUGUGUGUGAAGUGCUGGGAGCAGAUUGUAGACCAUAGGUUGUAGCUGAUGUUGUCUUUUCAACUCUUGUUGGCUUCCUUUCUAAAUGUUCAAUUGGGUUAUCUGUAGGUACAGGAGUUUGCUUAACUGCACUGCUAGAAAGUGACUUAUCUGUCCUGUUCCUUUCUAUAUCUUCAAUUUGGGCAUCAAGUUCUUUAAAUUGUUCUUCACUUAAAUUGUCCCAAAAAUAAUCAUCAUCAUAUUUCCUUGCGUUCCUUUCUGAAUUACAUUCACUUGGCUUUGAUGGUGGACGUUCACGGGGUGUGGGAAAAUCAAUGAAUCUCAUAAUGUCCAUUGGUGGGGGAUCAAAAUCCCAUUUAGAGUGCUUUCCUGAUUUUUCAUUCUUUUCCAGAACACUAGCAGAAGGAGGGAGCCUUUAGCCAUGAAAAAGAAAAAAAAAAUAGUGUUAGUACUGUUGUGUUACUAGAAAAAAACUUGAUUUAAAAACAAGGACAAAAAAAAUGCUAUCUAUUCAUAGUUGCAAUACUAUCUCUCCAUAGUCGAGCAAUUUUAUUCAAAUGACAUAACAAAGGAGUGAUACUAGUGUAGGUGACCAUUUGACACAUAAACACAACUGACCCCAUAAAGUAUAAAAAUAGACACAAAAAAAUAUAAUUGCUACCAAAUUACAAAUAACUUGCCUCGCUAAUAAAUAUUAAGUUGCUUAACACAAGAAAAAAUAUAUCCCAUUUACCUCAGCCUUUCCCUUCUUGAUUGAGAAGAACAACUUCUAGUGAUAUUGGUUCUGAUUCCCUUGAAUCACCAGCCGGUGCAUCAACUUUAGUGUGCUUUCCUGAUUUUUCAUUCUUUUCCACAACACUAGCAGAAGGAGGGAGCCUUUAGCCAUGAAAAAAACAAAAAAGUGCUUAGUACUGUUAUGUUACUAGAAAAAAACUUGAUAAGUUAUGAUGCUUAUAACCAGGGAAUUAGUCAUCUAUUCCCUGGUUAAUGAACCAGGUAGAAGAGGCACAGCCCAAGCUAAUACUGAAAGCCCUAGUUUGGUUUUGAAUAAUUGAUGAAACCCUAGUACUAACCUCUAUGAUAAGUAUGUGUAGACUUAAUGAGGUUGGUACAUGCCAAGUGAUUGAGCAAGUGAUGAUCAUGGUGAUGAUGGUGAUGACCACAAGAUGAUUAAGUGCUCAACUUGGAAAAGAAGAAAGAGAAAAACAAAACCCUAUGGAGAUCAAGGCAAAGGUAUUGCUUAGGGUUUUGGUUUUGGUGAUCAAGACACCAUAGAGGGUGUGAUCACAUUUAGGAUAGAUAGUCGUACUAUAAAGAGGGGAAUUAUUUGGCUAAGCGGUUAUCAAGUCCCACUAGGUGUCAUUGUUCAUGUGCAUGCAUUUAGAACCUAGUAAGCUAACUUAACUCCUUCGAAGAAAAUGUUUGUGAAAAUGCUAACACACGUGCACAAGUUGGUUUACACUUUGUGGUGUUGGCACACUUUGAGAAGGAGGUGGAGUUUGAAGGGCCGAGCUUGCGAGGCGGGAUUCGGCGCUUUUCGAGAAAAUGAAGUGCAUAUUUUUUCUAUUGCGCCGGUGGGAAAUUUGGAGAAGUCGCGGGAGUGUUUCUCGCUGAGGAACACUCACCAGACGCUGGCUCAGAGGCACCGGACGCUGUGUCUGAGCGUCCGGUGUGCAGGCUGCCUGGCUCAGCUAGGGUUGGGCACCGGACGCCAGGCACCGGACGCAAGCUGAAGCGUCCGGUGGUCUGAGUCCGGUGUCCGCACUUUUUGCAAACCUCUCUGGGUGUGAGUCCGGUGAGCACCGGACGCUAAGGGUGCGUCCGGUGGCUUGCGUCCGGUGACCCUGCAAGUUUGCAGAGCUCUCUGCGCAUGGGUCCGGUGUGCACCGGACGCGUCCGGUGCUCACUUGCUCAAGCGUCCGGUGCUCUGCAGGUUACCGUUAGACUCUGACACGCGGCUGGCGUUGGAGCACCGGACGCAGGUGUUGAGCGUCCGGUGCCCCUUUAAGAGCGUCCGGUGACCCCGUAUUUCGCCCAGUGAAAGAGCCAACGGCUCUAUUUGUUUGAGGGGCUAUAAAUACGUGUUUGGUCGGCUUGGGGCAUAUACUCUUGGCAUUCUAGCAUACAUAACAUCCUUGUGAGCCUAAGCAAACUCCUCCCACUCUUCUCCUUCAUAGAUUAUAUAUCUUUGUGAGAUUGGGAGUGAUUCCAAGUGCAUUUGCUUGAGUGAUUGCAUCUAGUGGCACUUGGAGAUCGUUCUAGCUGCGGUUUUCUUGUUACUCUUGGUGGUUGCCGCCACCUAGACGGCUUGGAGCAGCGGAGGAGCUUUGGCACGAGUUGGUGAUUGUUCGUGGCCAUCUCCCGGUGAUUGUGAGGGGUCUUGUACCUUCCCCGGUGGAGAGCCGAAAGGUAACUCUAGUGGAUUGCUCGUGUCAUUGAGCUACCUCACUUGUGGGUAGGUUCUUGUGGUGUCCUAGUGAGGACGAGGUUCGUGCUACACCUCUUAGCCACCGAACCACCAAGUGUUGGUCGACACAACGGGGACGUAGCGUGCCGGCAAGCACGUGAACCUCGGGAGAAAAAUUGUUUGUCUCCAUUGUACUUGUUCAUUGGAUUUCUCCCCGUGAUUGGACUUCAUAUUAUUGAUUGGUUCAUCCCCUCUACGCGGCGGUAUAAAGAUCAAACCAUCUCUCUUACUUUCCCGCAAACUAGAGUAGCUUACUUCUUGUAUAGAAACUUUAGAUAGCUCUCUAGUGUAAGUAGUGACAUAGCUCUUGUGUGCCUAGAAAUUAUGUCAACUAGAAUUGUUGGAUAGGUGGCUUGCAAACACCCCUUUAGAGCUAGAGCAAAAAGCUUCGCUUCGUUAUUUAACUAACCUCUUGCUCUAGUGAGUUUGUAGAAUUUUUUAAAUAGGCUAUUCACCCCCCUCUAGCCAUAUUAGGACCUUUCAAAUACCAAGAUGACAAAAUCAGAAAAUUUGAGAUGGAAGGGCCAGUCAUAAAGUAGGAAAAAGAAAUAUUGGACUUUGUGCAGGCAAAAGAUCAAGACCAGCAUGGAUGAGUAUGAGACUUAUGUUGGCAUAACAAAGGAGCGAUACUAGUGUAGGUGACCAUUUAACACAUAAACGCAACUGACCCAUAAAGUAUAAAAAUAGACACAAAAAAUAUAAUUGCUACCAAAUUACAAAUAACUUGCCUCGCUAAUAAAUAUUAAGUUGCUUAACACAAGAAAAAAUAUAUCCCAUUUACCUCAGCCUUUCCCUUCUUGAUUGAGAAGGAACAACUUCUAGUGGUAUUGGUUCUGAUUCCCUUGAAUCACCAGCCGGUGCAUCAACUUUAGUGUGCUUUCCUGAUUUUUCAUUCUUUUCCACAACACUAGCGGAAGGAGGGAGCCUUUAGCCAUGAAAAAAAACAAAAAAGUGCUUAGUACUGUUAUGUUACUAGGAAAAAACUUGAUAAGUUAUGAUGCUUAUAACCAGGGAAUUAGUCAUCUAUUCCCUGGUUAAUGAACCAGGUUGAAGAGGCACAACCCAAGCUAAUACCAAGAUGACAAAAUCAGAAAAUUUGAGAUGGAAGGGCCAGUCAUAAAGUAGGAAAAAGAAAUACUGGACUUUGUGCAGGCAAAAGAUCAAGACCAGCAUGGAUGAGUAUGAGACUUAUGUUGGCUGAGGCAAGCUAUGAUGCUUAUAACUUGUGGUAGUAGUCUUAGAAUGCAAAAAAUCAUACAGAUAAAAAAACAGCACAAUGCAUUCAUUGUAGGGGGACAAGAACCAUGCAUAUACAGUAAGUCAGUAACAGCUGUUUUGACAGAUACAAAAGUUCUCCGAACAAUUAUUCACAAAAAAAAUAUCUCAUUUUACCUCAGCCUUUCCCUUUUUGAUUGAGAAGGAACAACUUCUAGUGGUGGAUCAACUAUGUUGGUUGCAUCAUCCUCAUCAGAGACACUCUUGUCCUCUAGCUCCACUUCUUUGUCCACCUCCUUAUCCUCUAGCUCCGCUUCUUUGUCCGCCUCCUCAUCUUCCUCGUCCUCAUCCUCGUCCUCCUUCCAAUCCUCCUCCUCCUCGUCCUCCUCUAUCUCUUCGUCUUCGUCAUCAACAUUCUGUUGGUGAGUUUUGGUAGUUCUUCUCCGUGUUGACCUUCUGGGCUCCUCUUGAUCCUCAGAAUCAUCGCUGAUUGUGGACACCUCACUUAUAAAUGUUCCUAUCACUUCAGUGAAACCAAUACAAGCUUUCUUGACAACUUUAGAUAAUUUCCUUUUCUUCUGUAAUUUUAAAAAAAUGUAAAAAAUGUUAGCUCCUAAGUGAUUGUAACUGGACACACAAUAAGCUAGAUUGCCUAUUUACUAAGUCAAUGUCGCCUAAUAGAUGACAUUUAAAUUGUCUAAAAGAAAAUGCAAUCCACUACAACGUUACCUCCUCAUCACUAAUAGAGGCUCCAGGAACAUCUCCUAGAAUGUAUUUUAAACAGUUCAAAUGCAAAAAAUGUUUACAACAAUUAAUGCUUUACAGCUAACCUUGAUCAUCCUAAAUUUUAGAACUAUUUGCAUCCUUUUCUUCUCACGCCUGAGCUAUCAUUUUUUAUUGUCUUACUAUUAAUGCUUUAUCAGCCGCACUGUUUUUGCUAAUUUAUAACAAUAUUAUUGUUUAAUGCCUAACACUAUUUUUGCCUAACACAAUGACAUUUGUGUUGUGAAAACAUUCAAAAAACUGAAAACUGGCAGAAUAUUUCAGGGCUUCCAAAAGUGAAACUGAAAACUGAAACUGAAAUUGAAAUUUGGAUUCUAUUAUUUCCAUACCUUUGAAGACAUGGGUGCAGAUGCCCUGUGUGAAAUAAAAUUAUCUAUGUCUUGGAAAUCCCCAAAUAAAGAGGUCUCAGUGACUGAACCAGCUAGUUUCUUGAGCUGUCACACGAAAAAAUGAAAAAAAAGAAAAAGAUUUGACUAAAUUGACAAAUGCAUAGUACAUAUAAAAAAAUUGACACAGAAAAAUAUACAAAAAAAAUUCAUACCUUGAGUUUCCCAAAUGUGCCAUUUGUGUUAGUAUCCAUCUUUAUGACCUUGUUGAUAAGUUUCAUGUUCCAUGCUGCAACUCUUGGCUGUUUUUCAGGGACUUGUAUGUUUCCUACCUCCAAAGAGUCCAGGUAAAGUAUCUAAAAAGGCAUAUAUGUAAGGUACCAUUAAAAAACAUGUAAAAGAGAAAAAAAUAGUACAUGAAUAGAAGAUUAAAAAAGAAAAAAGAAAAGACACUCACGGAGAGGAAAUACAGAUAGCCUAAAAUAGAAUCCUUUUUAUGCAUCUUUCCCACGGAUCCUUUGAGAGUAUCUACUACAAAUUUGCACCAAUUCAAUUCCUUAACUUUUGAUAGAUCAACCAAAGAAGGAUAGCACUUUGGGCUGAUGCACAAAGCUGUGCUUCCACACAAAAAAGUUGAGAUAGCAACCAUGAGCCAACACCGGAGGUAGUCAUCAUUUGCUUCCUUGUUUGCGCACAGCCUUUCUGUUAUUGUUGUAAUUGUAGGAGACCUUCCGUUGUCAAAGCUGCACUUUUCAUUGAUGAAACUAAUUGCACUUCCAUUGAAUUCAUAUUUAACCUCAUCUUCACCCAUAGGUAACCCAAGUAUCCUAUUCACAGCAGCUGCAUUUACUUUAAUCUUCCCUCUUCCAGGAAUUACAAGCUCUUCUGAUUCACCAUCCACAUUCUUCACAAGCCAUUUACUUAGGGCAGAUGGCAAUCGACCACUUCCUAUCUCAAGCAAGCCUCCAAAGCCAGUAUCACUAACAAGCUUCCGUUGGGCCUCUGACAUUUCCUUGUACAAUUUAAACAGUCUAGCAGGAGUUGCUCUAUUCCUUACACCCUAAAAAUGCAAAAAAAGAAAAGAAAAUGAGAAAUAAAAAAACAAAAAAAUAUAAGAUUAUAUACACUUAUAAAAAAAGGAUGAUUCAAACAUACAUGUGUCCCGCUAGUGCGACCACCACCAGCGCCCCUCUUUUUGGUAGCCAUUGUCUGUAAGUAAAUUUUAAAAAAGUUAGAAAAAAUCAUACUGAUUCAGAAAAAAGCAUACACAACUACCAGCAGAAAAAAUGGCAUGAAAAAAAAACAAAAAAUGGUAAUGUUGUAGUGGAUUGCAUUUUCUUAGGCAAAAAAGUGUCAUUCAUUAGGCAAAAAUGACUUCUUAAAAUGGGCGAUUUAUGUAUUCUAAAAAAGCAUCUUCUUACUAUAACUACUUCCAUUCAGUAAAUGCACUAAAUACUAGUUCUGAGACUUGUUUCUUGUCUCCCAACUCAAGAAACAUGUGCCCAAAAACUCAUCAGCAAAAAAAGGAAGCUGCUUGGCUGGCAACAGAGAGCCAAACUGGUGCCAGCUAUGUAAGCUGCGGUAGCAGAAGUAGAUGGGAAAAAAACAUGGUAACAGAUUAGUCAUUCUUAUCAUAGCUUACAACUCAAUAGCGGUUAUCCGCUCCUAUACCCAGACAUUAUUUUAAGAAUCAUUUGUUAGAUGCAAAUAUUUUCUAGAUGCAAUAUUUUAAGAGCCAACAGCUGACCCAAAUAUUUUGCACUCAACAACUACACAAACUAAACAAAAGAUGCGCCUACUGCCCUACUGUGUUUGAAAUCAGACUAUCGCUUGAAAGAAACAACAAUAUAGGAUGUUCGUGGAGCCUCUAUUGGUGAUGAGCAAGUUGCUGCUGGAAAAAUACUUGUAGUAGAUUGCAUUUUCUAAAGCAAUUUAAGGAUCAUUUGUUAAGCAACAAUGUUUUUCUAAAUAGGCAAUUUAUGUAUUCUGAAAAAGCAAAUAUAGCAUCUAUGUUCACAUGGCACUCAUAGCCCCCUCCCCCCUGAUUUAUAUGCGAAAAAAUACAUGGAUAGUUUAUGAGAAUCAUAUAAAAUGGAUAUUGGUUUGAAAAUGGUCAAUAUACCUUAUAUAGUAGGCAUGGGCCUUUUGUAAAAAGUGGAAUAUGUAAGUCUAAAUGUAUUAGUGAAUUUUCUGCAUUCAGUUUAGAAUAUUGAGUUGUAUUUUACAGCAGCAUAGGCAUGAAAACCAGGGCGGAUCCACAGGGUGGGCUGCCCGGACUGCAGCCCCCCUUGAGCCUGAUUUAUGCCUUUAAAUCAAUAGUACUUCCAUUAAUCUCUAACUUUAGUUCUAAAGCUUCACUAUUUAGCCCCCCUCAGUCCCAAUUCUAGAUCCGCCCCUGAUGAAAACAUUAUAAGUUGUGGUGAAAACAAGCAUUAUAUUAGGCUUUACCUUUUUAAAACAUUGCAGCGUAGGCAUUAAUUGCAAGAAAAAAUUACAAAAUUGUUUAUAGGCUUUACCUAAAACCCAAACAUAGCUAGCCUAAAGCCAAUCAAAGAAGGUCUUGCCUUGGCCCUUUGCCCAUGGCUAGACCUCUAGUAUUGCGAAUAACAUAAAAGGUACUUGAAUCUACAUAAUUAUAAGGACAAGACAAUAUUAAUGGUUUGCUUGUAAUAUAAACAGCGUAGUUUGGCUCUUAAGUUGGCCAAUGUUAACAAGAAAGAUGAUAGAUGAGAACCCAUGAACAAUACAGAAUGAACCAUGAGUUUCCUAAACAUGUAUUCCAGAAAUGGGUAAUAAUUAGAACACAGGAAAAAAUACUAAAAACCUAGAGCAUAAAAAAUGCUUAGCUAAUAUUUAUAAUUUGCUUGUUGAUUUAGUAUAAGUUGCCUACAUGAAAGUAAUGAAGUACAUGUUUAGGAAAAAAGUGGCAUGAAAUGUGCUCUCACCACAUAUGUACUUAUUUACAUAUUGCGCACAUCAUACAUGCUUUGUGCUUUGUACUUGAUCUUCCCCUCCUAGAUAACUUGGAACCUGCAAUGGAAGAACAUGAAAAAACAAAGAGAGAUUAGAGAAGAAUGAUGUAAAAAUUGCCUAAUGAUUUGCAUUAUUUUGCAUUGAUCAUGCCACACUAUUGCCUGGUCAGAGUAUAUUUAGUUGCCUAUUUCCAAUGAAGUUUAGUAACUAAUCAAUGUGCAUGUAAGCGGUAGUAUCCUAGAGAACAAUUAGAAGCCAGAUUGUAUUUGUACUGUACAAGGUAGUAGCCUACCAGGGAGUGGCAGGUCAGAUCAGUUCCAUUUCGUGGCCACUAAAACCUGUUGUCUGACCAGGACAUGUAGAAGUCAAACUAGUUUUGGGCUGUAACAUGUCGGUUGCCACAACCCACAACAACCAAUCUUAGCUAUGUUGUACUAUAAAUAGAAGGCAAUAUAAACUUGAAGCUGUAGCUUUUAGCGGCACCUAAACAAACUAUCCAGUCUUAUUUCUACGAAUGCAUUUGAGUUGGUUUAGAUACAACAUUGGUGUUCAAUUGAGUAUAAUAAGAUAUUUUGUGCAAACAAAACAUCAGGUCAAUGCAAAAAUGCUUCAGAACCAGGUGAUGAGAACAUGAAUAUAUAGUUCUACAGAGCUAUUUGGUGUUGCAGAGAACAAUUAGGGAAUUCAUUAGGCAAUAAUGUUUUCCUAAAAUAGCAAUUCAUGUAGACUAAAAAAGCAAGUAUAGAGUCUGCGUUCAUUUUGCAACCUACACCCCCACCCCCACCCCCAUUUAAUUGCAAAAAAAUCAAAAACAGGGGCAAAAAGUCACGGUGUCAAAAACAACUGAUAUUACAAACUAAGAGCUGACAUGCAACUCUUGUCUACUGCAAGCUAACAUGCAACUCUUGUCUACUGCAACUUUGACCUUGUUACUACCGCAAAAUACCUCCGUCGCCGCUCUGAAUAUCGGCAGCCAUGCCCUCCCCUCAGUGAACAAAAAAAAUCUACAACUGACUCUAACCCCUAAUUUAGCCAUGUCUCAAAUCUGAGAGGAGGCGGAGGAGGAGGAGCCCUACCUGACAUGGUUCCGCCACGGGAAGUGGAGUACCUAGGAGACGACGUCGCGGCCGGCGAGGGCGAGGAUGUCGGCGCAGGAGACCUUGUAUGCGCACUUGGGGGUCGGCGUCGACGCGCGGCCUUGGCGCGGGUGACGAGGUCCAGCGCGUCCGGUGCACAGCGUUGUGUCGGCGCUCGCGCUGUGCUCGUCGUCGGGGCCCGACAACAGCACGGACGCGUCGCAGCCCUGGGAUUGUGCAGGGACGGGGGACGUCAAUCGAUCUAUUGGAUCCAUGGGAUUAUGCGGGAUCCAGGGGGAGGAUGAACGGGAGGGGGGGAGGCGAGGACGACGAACCUGUGUGCGAGCAGGUUCCAGCACCCUAUGCGGUUCGAGUUGCCUUCAAUUCCUCACCGAGCCUCUUCUCUGCGCAAAAACCCUAGGUCAAAAGCAUCGAAUCUCGCCAAGAAAACACAGCAGAGAAGAUGGGAGAUCGACGAGGGAGGAGGGAGGAGGGGAGGGGAGGGGUGGGCGACGAACCUGUGCGGCAUCCAGAAAGAGCUCGGCCCCGAACCUCUGCAGCAAUGGGGAUGAAAUGCGUGGGGGGAAACUGACGGGCGCGGUUACCAACGUUUGAAAUGACAAGUCCAGACAUGACAAUACCAUGUGGGCCCGCGGUUUGUCCGCAUGCCGCUUUGCAAAUAAAGGCGCGUCGGCUCGUGGGCGAUUGGAGUGUGCGUGCAACAAGUUAAUGGCACGGUCGGCCAGAAACAAGUCUUUACCUUAAACAAAGGCCUUGUUUACUUCCACCCAAAAUCCAAAAACUUUUUAAGAUUCUCCGUCACAUCGAAUCUUUAGACACAUGUAUGGAGUAUUAAAUAUAAACAAAGUUAAAAACUAAUUACACAGUUUGGUCGAAAUUUACGAAAUGAAUCUUUUGAGCCUAGUUAAUCCAUGAUUGGACAAUAAUUACCACAAACAAACGAAAGUGCUACAGUGUUCCGGAAAAAUUUCGGCAAGGAACUAAACAAGGCCAAAAAGAAACAUCUCUCCCUCUCUAAUGUUGUCAUUUUUUUACUAUUUACUAAAAAAAGAAAGAGUAAAGUGCACGGCACUCAAACUUGUUUGGGUAUAUUAUUUUUAGUCCAAAAAAUUAGUAAAUCAUUCAUUUAGGUCUUCACACUUGUUUUUCUAUCUCUAAAAUUAUAAAUCAAUCGUUUACAUCAUCAAACUUGUUUCAUUUUAUCAUCUCGGUACCUAAACUUACAAUUGCCCAUUUAGAUUCGGUCUAAGGCCUUGUUUAGUUGGAGAAAAAUUUUGACUUUGGCUAUUGUAACAUUUUCGUUUGUAUUUGACAAUUAUUAUCCAAUUAUGGACUAACUAGGCUCAAAAAAUUCGUCUCACAAAUUACAGAUAAACUGUGUAAUUAGUUAUUUUUUAUCUAUAUUUAAUACUCUAUCCAUGCCUCAUAGUUGUACGAGUUUUUAUGGUAUUCUCGCAUGUGCCCCGUGUUAGGCUGGUAGCUCCAUCUCUCUCCUUCCUCUUCUUCCCUGAGCUUCCUCCCUCUUAUCUCCUCUCUCAUGAGCUCAUGGCUCAAUAGCGACAUGGCUUCGAAGCCACGACAGAGGUGGUGACACAACUAGGUUUUAGUGUGUUCUCAGACAACUAGUGAUGGGGACGUGAUUCUCGAUCUUUCGUCGGGUUCAAGAUAAUUAUUGAUUUGGACGAAAAGCAACACACCGAUCCGGCUUUAGAUCAAAAGACCGGAACCCCGCAACCUUAGCACCACAUCUCCUCUAAUUAUCAACAAUGUUGUAAUCAGAUUAACCUUGCCACGAAGGCUAAUCUCUGCUACAAAUCAAAAAACACAAGCAAAGAACAAGGUAAAAUAUAACUCAAUUGAAGUGAAAAUUUGCAGAUGUAUGAUUAAGAUCUCAUAGUGGGGAUUCACAAACCGAUAACGACGAAUGUUUAGAGACAAAUUAAUCUAAAGCAAAAUCCAAACUCUAAUGUAGGUGGUGGCUACUGAUUAUAUAGCCUAAGGGGCAUCCAAGGACCCCUCUUCACGUCCAUAAGGUGCCCCAACACGUUAUAAAAGGCCCAACGACCCAAAAGACAACAACACAACAUCUAAACCGAUUGUGGAUGUCAACUUGUUCCGAGGAUUUCUACCGACCCCGAAGGAAUUUAGACCUCAAACUAAAGCCAUUGAUUAGAUUAUGAAAUUAUUUUUUCCAUCCAUAUGUGGAUCAUCAAAAAUGGAGUUUGAAUACGUUCUAAAUGUCUGUUUUAUUGCAGGUUGGUCCUCAAGGCUAAGCUAGACUCGAACUCGAGUUGGACUAAGCCUCCGGCUUGGCUUGGAUGCCCUUGCUGGCCUCCUAAGGAGGUGGCCAUGCAGGAGGACGUCUAAGGGCUUCCUUACUGGGUUCACCAUCUUCUUGAGAUGUGCUCCCACUUGGGCUAGGGUCUUAAGAAUUAAAAACAUGUCCACAAUGACGAUGUACCUCCCAACAAAAACAACGAUGUAAUAUCUUAACUCAAAGGCCUUGCCAAUGUGAUAUUGAAGUGGGAUAAGAUCUAUUUAAAAGCUUAUCAAACAAGUUUUCUAGCAAGUACUCAUUGACCUCGAUCAUACUCUGAAUGGAUGAGUUAUGACUUUUCCAAUGAAGCGUUGUCGGGCUGCUGACGAACCAAAAGUUCAACUUUGAUGAACUUGCAAUCUAAAACACAUCUACAAUCAAUUAAUGGCAUGUACAUAUAGAACCAAGUGAAUUAUACCUAAAAUCACUAUACAACUGUAGGAGCGGGCACACCUUAUAAUCAAUGGUCGUAUCCUAAGGUGUCUUAUCCUCAUUAGCUAAAGUGCAACCCAUCAUAGAGGCUCAACACGAUUAAUGGUGUAUGUGUAGUCAAAUGACAUGUUGAGAUGACAGACUAGAAAAAGGUGAAUAGUUUUUUUCUAAAAAUAAAUAUGUCGACUAUCCCAAACAAAUAAAUUAAAACUACUUAGUCUAUCCUUGACUACAUCUAUCUAUCUAUAUUCGCAAGUAGCUUACACAAGAUCAUAAUUAAGCAACUAAAGAGUCAGGCUAAGUAGAGUUCAUCUGCAUAAUUCUAGAUCACAUAAAUCUAUGUAACUAAUACUUAAGCAAACAGGAGCCCCUACACAUACUAAGGGGGUGUUUGUGACUGCUCUGCUCUACGUUUUUCAGCUCUGCUUCAUGUUUUUUAGCCAAACAGUUUCAGCUCCACACACUCAGUUCGAGAAAAAAAAUGAAGUUGUGAGAACACCUAAAAAGGUACUCCACUGACUCCAGUUUUUUGUGGAGCUGCUCUAUGGUAGACUACUAUAGUAUGACACAAUUGUGGUUUUUAUACGCUGAAAAGGCACGAAAUUGUGUCGAGGGGUCAUAAGUGAAAUCUCUAAAACUUCAAAAAAGGACUACAAUUUUAAUAAACCCAUGAUUUUAGGUUAUAGAGAAUACAAGAUUUGCUGUAUUUAAUAAACAUCCGAUAACUUUUGAAUCAAAAAUUUAAAUAAAAAGAAACUUUUGAAUCAAAGUAUUUUGUUUGGCAAACCCAUAUUAUUUCCUCUAAUGCUUCAAAAAAAUAUUUUACGUACAAAUAGUAGUAUGUAAACUAAUGUAACUACCUAUAAUAAACAGUAUUAUUAGUUAAUGGAUCCUUGACGACGAUCCGAUCCAUCCCUAGGUAUGAUCCAGUGCGGCUGGCCCCACAUCCGCUCAACCUCGCCGGCGUUUAGCUUCAUCCGCCCCAUGCGCCCCGGCCUCACAAGGUCGGAGAAGCCGACGUCGUACGCGACGGCCAGGCGCCCGCACGGGCGCGUCACCCGGUGGGCGAGGAUCACGUACACGCGGUUCGCCUUGGCCCCCGCCGGGCCGGCGGUGACUGUGAACCCAUGCGCGCCGUCGACGAACACGGCGCGGUGACCGAUGUCGUGCACGGGCCUCCACCUCGGCGGCCUCCGGCUGCCCCUGUGCUUCGCGCGGUACGCCUCGGUGAAGAGCACGCCGCGGCUGUCCUCUCCGGCGCGGCGCACCAGGAGGAUCGCGUCGUCAGCCGAGGGCGCCAAGUAGGCGCCGUCGACGUCGCCGCCCAAGUGCAAGUCCAAGCCCGGCGGCGCCGGGAUCCUCGCGCGGGCUCGCAGCGUGCCGGCGUCGAUGACCGUGGUUUCCAGCGUGCGCCGCUCGAGGACGAAGAAGAGCCCGCCGCGGUAGUUCACCGUCAUGUGCGAGCCGAGCCGCGACUGGUGCACCGGCGUCCACCGCCGCUCGCCGCCGCCGCCGCCGCCGUGCUCGCAGAAGAAGGCCGUGUCGCCGCGGGCCACCAUGACGCCGCGCGGGGACCAGUCCCACGCGAGCCCGUCGUCGGUGACGCGCGCGCAGCGCUGCGGGCGCGGCUCGUCGUCGCGGUGGCAGUCCACGGGCUCCUUCUCCGAGAACGGGAUGGGCAGGUCCGGCAGCGGCGCGCGCGAGCCGGUGAAGGGGUCGGCGAGGUGGCACGGGUGCCUGUAGCACACGUCCGUGGCCAGCACCGUCCCGCCGCGCGGGGACGGCAAGAGCCGACGCCCGGGCACCGGAGGCAUUGCCCGCACGUCGACGUCGAGCAUGCGCAUGUCGGCGAGGGAGAAGACCUUGUACCCAUGCUCCGACGCGAACGCAAGGCACGGGAUGGUCGCCGACUCCUCCUCCUCCUCGUGGCCGCCAUGCUCCGUGCUCACCUCGGCUAGGGACGGCACCGUGACAUUGUUGGUGGUGGCGGGGUCGUCAUCGUCCACCGGCGCCUCCGUCCGGACGGAGACAGACGGCGGCGAUGAGGAGGACGACCGCCGCCGAGGCCGUCUUUCGGGGGACGACGGGGAGAGGAGGAGAAAAGAACGCAGCUCAGCCCUGUGGCUGCGGCGGUCGUCGUCGUCAUCGUCUGGCGUCGUCGUCGGAGACGACGAAACUCCGCAGACGAACUUGGCGAACUUGCCGGAGAGCUGGGAGAACAUGGCGGCGGCGGCGGCCAUGGUGUUGGCGACUAGAGGCCAACACCACAUUGGUGUAACAAACUAACAAAAAACGCAAUCUGGCCAAAUCAAAGACUACUUAUAGUAGUUAAUAUAUUUUGAUUUUGAUAACUUUAACAGAUUAAUCCGAUCUGUAACAAACACGUCGUACUAGUUUGUUAACGGUAAGAUCCGGCUCCCAUCAUAACUAAGGCCCUGGCUAAAUUUUAGGUAGCUAAAAUUAUUUUAGCUACUCUUGGGUGACUAAUGGAACUAAACUAUUUUAGCUCUUUUUAGUCAAUGUGUUUGGAACUUUAGCUGCUAAAGUGACUAAAAUUUAACUAGCUAAAAUUUAGUUGGUGGAACCAAACAGGGCCUAAAUUAGCGUGAAAACAAGCCCCUGUGCUGGCCCAAAUCCUGGUUCGGUGUUUCAGUUAAUUGCACGAACGCUAGCAGAUUUGCCAUUGAGGCUGAUGCGUUGGUUUUUUUCAUUUACAUGCAUGCUUAUUAUUAUUGGAUUGGAGACCAUGGGUCCAACACGUGUGAAAUUCGCAUCCUGGAAUUGUGACAAGGCAUCCUAUUUUUAUAGGCCAAGUGAGUCUCUUGGAGUUUUGUUAGGAAAUAGGAUGUAUGUGAGAUAUGUUACAAAAGUACAAGUGCUGUUCACUCACUAUAAAAAGUUUAAUAUAUUAAGAGGGCUCGAGAUGUAUAUUCAAAUUCAAUACGUUUGAUCUCUUUCUCUCAGCUCCAACGAUUAAAUACAUGAGAGACUAAGGGCACUCGCAAUGCAGACUCUAUCAUAGAAUCUAAAGUUAUUUAUUACCUCGAACAAUGUGGACUUAGAGUCUAAAUAAACUUGGAGUCUUAUUUUUUCUACAUCUUUCUUCAAUAAAUAUGCUACCACAUCAACAAAAUACCAUAAAUAAUAUGUAAUUAAUUAUCUUGGACUCUGUGAUAGAGUCUUGCAUUGUGAGUGCCCUAAAACUUACUACUACCUUUGAUUUCAAAUAUAAGUCACUUGAGGAUUUUAUUUGGUCAAACUUUUAUUUACUUUGACCAUCGGUAAAUGAAAAUUGGCAUAGUUUACAAGUCAUAGGCCUUGUUUAGUUGCAAUUUUUUUUGCACAAUAGACAAUGUAGCAUUUUUGUUUGUAUUUGACAAAUAUUAUCCAAUCAUGGACUAACUAAGCUCAAAAAAUUCAUCUCGCAAAUCACAUACAAACUGUGCAAUUAAAUAAUUUUUUAAUCUAUAUUUAAUGCUUCAUGCAUGUGCCGCAAGAUUCGAUGUGACGUGAAAUCUGAAAAAUUUUGCAAAAUUUCUCAGAAACUAAACAAGGCCAUAGUUGAUGUUUUCAUAUUUAUCAUGGAAACUACAUCCAUAGUAUAAAUGAUUUCCGCUAUGUAAAACGAAUAACUAAAGCUGCAAUAAAAUGUUAGAGCAUGUGUUACUCUAUUAAACAACAUACAUGUACAGUUAGGGAGAGCAUCAUGGAGCACAACCAUUCAAUCUCUUUUUCUCCCACAAAAUGUAAAAAAAGUCAUUUAAUAAAGAGAAUAAUGAGACUUAAUUAAGUUGUUAGUUUUGUGCAUUUAAUAAACAUUUUACGAGGUGAUGUAAAAAGUCCACAGAGGUGGGAGAAAAAGUCAUUUAAUUUUUCUCACACAACAUAGUACAUGGUGAUAGAAAAAGUCCAAAAACCUCCCCACGUCACAACCCCGUUAAAUGCUAGUUGGAUACAUAUAUUGCUCCUCUUUAGAUUAAGUGCUAGUAGCUAAAUACGAGUGCUCAGGCUAAAAAAGUAACUCCAUCAUCAGAACCCCUACUCCAGACAUCAUAUUUGGUUAGGAACCCAUAUUUUUUUCUCCAGACCCAUUCUUGUUGGCCUAACAGGACAACCUCUAUCAUCCAUCGCGUGUUCUAGCCCUAGCGUGCACUCCCUCUCUCUCUUUCCCUGCACGUGCACAACACUCUACGUUCACCGGCUCGAUCCUCCAAUUGUGUCCUGUCCAAAAGAAGAACAAAGAGAAAGAAGAAAGAGACAAUGACGAGUGGGUCCCUUCUGUCAUUCUCUACCAGAAUAGAUUUAGAGGCCCAAAUUUAGGUGUUGCUGUUUGAGUUGAACCAAAAUAAAAUUGAGCCCCCAAAAGUAGGAGGAGCAUCCAAAUCAAAAAUAGGAGCCUUAUUUUUGAGGCUAACAGCUGAAGUUGCUUAUAUCAUUGGCAUUUGAGGUAGCAUUGGUUUGUAGAGAUGCUUAGAUUUUGUGCCAUGAUAGAUUAGUUUCAUUCUAGUGUUACAAAAUUGUUACACUGGCCCGGCCGAAAUCAAUAGAAAAUCAUUUAGGUGAGAUUUUUCCGCAUCCAGUGAAGUCUUAAAAAAAGUGUUAAAGAAUUUUUCUUUUUCACCUUCACCAUCGUCAUUACCAUUUCAAACAAUCCUUGCCCCUGCUAUCACUUCAAACAAACAUUCUGCGACAAAAUAUAUCCUCUUGCAAUAUGGUUUUAUACCUCUUAGGACAUCUGCAGUGUGAAAACAAUUAUGUUUUGCACCUGCGCAAACACUACUGCGUCAGAAUAUUCCAACUUCAGGCCUUGUUAGUUCACAAAAAUAAAAUUUUUUUGAAUAUCACAUUAAAUAUGUUGGCAUAUAUUUAAAGUAUCAAACAUAGACUAACAAAAAAAUAAAUUAUAUAGCUCGCUUAAAAACCGCGAGACGAAUUUAUUAAACCUGAUUAAUCCAUCAUUAGCACAUGUUAGUUACUGUAGCAACUAUGAUUAACCAUUGACUAAUUAGACUUAAAAGAUUUGUCUUAUGAUUUAUAACUAAACUGUACAAUUAUUUUUUUAUCUAUAUUUAAUAUCCAUACAUAUAUCAAAAGAUUCAGAUUCGAUGGAACGGUGAAAAUUUUUUUUUGUGAAAAAGUAAACAAGGCCUCACUGUGUGAGCAUCGAUUUACAGGGCCACCUCUCUCCUCUUGAUUGCUAGGCGAAUUUGCAACUUGCUUUGCUGGAGUUGACAUUUUUUUAUCCAACUCGGUUCGAGGCAUCAGCAAGAUGCGAUUUUAUAUUUGACACUCGCGGUUCGUUAGCCACAACGUGCUCGGUUCGAUUUUCCAUCACUAUGGUUCGAUUCAGCUGCCAUUAACUUAUAUAUGUUUUUUUUUUUAAAAAAAUCUUGAGUAAUCUAGAGAUCGAAUAAGUCAAUUAUAAAAUUUAGUCUUUUUCUAUAAAGUCAGGCUGUACUAUUAUCCGUACUCUAAUUCUCCUGCUACUCCACACUGUUUAUAUAAAAGAAAAACAUAUAAAAAAUAUAAAAUCCUAACCAGUUCUUGCUAAAAUUAACGGCGUCAUGACUCAUGAGAGACCGCCAGAGACCAGAGUUGUGGGCUUGAGGCUGGGGCGCUCCGGCUGCGCAACACAUCUCGGUGGCAACGGUGUUCAGGCGGACUCCCCGGCGAUUGCGGCUGGCCGCGAUGCAUCCAGGGCGCAUCCUCCUCGCUGGGCUCCGGCGCUCAGCCUCUGUCGCUUCUUCCGUUGCUCAGUCGCCAAAGGUGAGAGUUUGAGACCUUUGUAGUCGCCGCAUCUGAGACCACCAUUUGUGCAUACUCUUCCUUUUUCAGUCUCAAAAGUUUUUCUGUGUCACGUCGAUACGCUGCUGUCCAAUAGCAGAAAGGGAGAGCAAAUCUGGAUCUGCGGUUUCGAGGGAUAUGUUUACCAAAAAAAUGCCUAAUCUUUAUCCACAACCAAGUCUACAUAAGAGGAAGGCCAAUAAAGAACAACCUUUGCAUCCGUGCCCACGCUUGCCUAAGAGCAUCCCUUCUCUCCUCCACAUGUCCUGAAAUUUACACCACAGCUUAAAGUUAAAAUCCAGGAAAACAGACCCUGAGCUGACUACGCAAUUGCAAAGAGAUGUAGAUUCAUUGCAGUGGUACUUGUGCUAUGCUGUUCCAUAGUUUAGAACUGGCACUGUACAUUGGUGAAUUUAUCGGCUUCACUAACAGAAGCUGCUUUUGGCAAAUCGCUAUUACUUCACUGAGCCAUACCUGUAAAGUAGUUGAUGAACACAUUUCUUGGAAGAACCAUUUUAGAUAUGAAUUAUCGUUUAGUUAAUUUGAUACUAUCACUGAUUUGUCAGGGUAAGCAGUUUAGCUGUUGGAUCAUUCUUCCAAGUUAGCGCUUUUCAGUAUCCUUUGUGCAGCCUACAUUCCUUCUGCUUCUACAUGAAAGCAAUGCAUCAGACUUCCCCCAGUGAUAAGUAAGCAGUUUAGCUGCCAGGGGUAAGCGGUUUGAAAUAAUAUCGGCAGACGUAGGCCUUUCAAAUAUUUUUCAUUUCUCUGAUAUAGAUUACAAAAGAGGAAAUCCAUUCCCACAUGCUGCACAGCCAUACUGUAGAAACUGGUUAUGUCAACUAUGCCCUUGAAUUGCUCAGUCAAAUUAAACCACAUGUAUGCAUGCAAAUACGAUGUUUCCCUCAUCACAGAUUCACUAUAUAUGAUGCUUUGACAUUACCUUCUUGGCUUCUUUCUUCACAGAAUAUGUGUUAUUGGAACAGAGUUAUUUGGAGUUCACGUUAUUUUCACAGCGCAAGUGGCAGUACUUUCGGUGAAGGAGGCUCAGCAGCAAAGGUAGCGAUGGACUCUCCUCGCACUGUCUCACAGUGCCAUGUUGACUGUUUUUAUUCUUCUUGAGCUUGAAUUAUAGAUAUUGAUCCUAUUGAGCUCGUAUUAAUUAUUAAGAAACAACUUGAUAUGUAUUAUGCCUACAUAUUGAUAUCGUACUUGUUUCAAUCAUGCAAAGUUUUGACACCAUAAUAAAAAGGCAAUUAGUUAAACUUAAUGUAUCAUUCUUUUCUUUCUGUGUAGUAGGAGCUGCCAGACCCCUUUGCCCUGAUUAAAGAGGAAGUGUCUGAAGUCACAAAUCGAUUACGCUCAAUGGUGGUUGCUGAGGUGCAUAAUCCAAUUGCGACCUUCUCCUAAAACCUAUGAUUACCAUAUUUUAAAUCUUGAAAUACUGUUUAAGUACAAUGCUCUCCUUUUCUCAAAUUUUAAGCUUUCGUGUGAACUAUUCUACGCACGGAACUUUUUAGAUUCACUGUGACUACAGGUACCCGAAUUGACAUCGGCAGCUGGAUACUUCUUCAGAGCUGGAGCUGAAGGGAAACGAACGUGCCCUACUGUAAGACCAGAAUUUGGAGUGUUAUUAUUGAAUGUGUUGCUGUUAUACUAUGGGCAUGGCAUACUAUUUUCUAGUUCAAGCGAAUAUAUAUAAUUACUCAUUCCUUUUGUCAUUGUAAGUUCUUGAUCAUUGAUGUUUCAGGUUCUGCUAUUGAUGGCUUCAGCUAUAAGCACAGACAUGAGUGAUCCAAUUGUUGGCUCAGAGAAUAAGCCUCGUGCAAGGCAUAUGCGUGUUGCUGAGAUAACUGAAAUGAUUCACGUACACAUCUGAACCUCCUUGCAUUUGACACUCUAUUCAGAAUUAUUUAUUCCAAUGAUUCAUUUUCUAUCUUGCAUCUUAGAUAUCAAGCCUUAUCCAUGACGAUGUUUUGGAUAAUGCUGAUACUAGGCGUGGUAUGGACUCAUUGAACUUCACAGUGGGAAAAAAGGUAAUAUGAUAAUUUCUGUCAUAGCUAAGUUGUCUAUUUAAAACAGGCAAAUACAGCGUAGUUUGGUAAUUGUUCUAUAAAAGUGAAAAUAUGAAGGAUUACCAUUUUGAAGGUAGCUGUUUUAUUUAACAUGUACAAAUCAAUCAAUUGCUUUUCAGUAGCUCCACCUAAGGUACUUCAUUUUAUUUUAGGUACUUUCUUUUAUCUUUUUAUAGUUAAUCAAAAACCAAAAUGUCAACAAUUUCUUUUAAUAUGUCAUCCCUGUUUUCUUCCUGUUAAUGUAAAUAAUGGUUAUAUUUGUUUUUCAGCACAUUCAUCUCAUAAGUAAAGAUUGUGUCCAAGCUAUGCUAUAAACUUUGCAAAAAUGUAAAUCAACUAUGUUUUUUUUCAUAUUUGCCUCUAAAAAAAUGGUAAAGCUGAAGCUUUUUUGCAGCUUGCAGUUUUGGCUGGUGAUUUUCUACUUUUCAGGGCAUUUUCUGCUGCUGUGGCUCUUGACAAUACUGAGGUGUGAUGUUUAUUCUUUAUUUUUAUGCCAAAAAACUAUUCUUGUUCAAAUUUAUUGACAAUGUUGCUAAUAAAGCAUUUAUGAGUGGGGAUUCUCAUGAAUUGCUGCAUAGAGACAACAUAACCAGUUUUUAUUAGCAUGUGAUAUGCCAUGACACUUUGCAUCUUUAUCCAUCUCUACAACGUCAGAUUUUGUCAGUUACUUUCCACUCUGUAUCUUCACAGGCUGAUAACAUCUAGACACCCACUUGUUCUCACUGCAGGUUGUAUCAUUACUAGCAACUGCUGUAAAUAAUCUUGUAACUGGUGAGCUUAUGCAAUUGACAAUAACCCCAGCACAGCGCUGCAGGUAGAUAUUCAAUUCAUUUCUCACUUCCUACUAUCAAGCUAUUCUCGAGUGCAGUUUUUACUAAUGAAAUACAGUGCUCAUCAACUUUGAUAAGGUUGAGAUGUGAAGGUGUCCAAUGUUUUCAGGUUGUCCGUUAAUCGCGAUUAGUCGUCCUGGUCAGUCCUAGGUGUUCGAUUAGGAGGUCCGACUCGACCAGCUCGACCAGAAAGCUGGUUGUCUGAUUAGUUGUCCGACCAGGACAUGGACAACCAGUUUGGUUACUCUGUUUUUGGGCUUGUUUAACUGGGCUGGUAUGUGGGCUGCUGGGCUUGCAGCUUAGCCUGUUAAGGUUAGUAUAGAUAGCAUGGAGGCACCUUGCUGGGGGUAUGGAGAUGCUAUUGGUUGUCCUCUUUCUCCAGAAAUAGUUAAGAAGGAGAUGCAGGCUUACAUCAAAAAGAAUUCAAGGACUGUUCUUGUGGAGGCACAAAGUGAAGAUGAAGAGGAACAAGAUGUUGCCGCUGCAGAAGAAGCUAAAGACUAAUGCAGUCUUGAUGCUUCCUUUAUUGUGUAUAAUAUAGUAUGUAUAUAUAUAUAUAUAUAUAUGGGUAUAUGUCUUGAUAUACAUGGACGACCAGGGUCGAUUAAUCGACUUGGUCGACGAUAAAUCAAGAUUAAUCAUCUGGUCGGUCCUAGGUCGACCAGGUUCGACCAGCCGACCUGAAAACAUUGAAGGUGUCACCAUAUCAGAUUAGUUCUGUACUCCCUCCUUUCCAAAUUAUAAGUUGGUUUGGCUUUUUUAGUACAUCCAAUGUCUAGAUACAUAGCAAAUUCGAUGUACCAAAAAAGUCAAAGCGACUUAUAAUUUGAAACAGAGUAAGUAGAAUACUAGUAUGUUGCUACGGUCAAUCAAUUAUAAGCUCUUCAUUUUUCUUUCUUUCUUUCUGAUCUAUGUGUAAGUAGCUGUAUCUGUCUAUAUUGGAUGUGUACUUAUGUUACUUUUUCAUUAAGACAAAAGAUGUUCACUAAUAAUUUUACGUAUCGCCAUAAUAGGUCACUAGUGCCUGAGGCCUGAGCAUCAACUAAAAAUUAACCUAGUUCUAGAUUGAAGGAACUGGAAAAAGGAAAGUAAGAAUGGUCGAUGGAUUCACCAAACUAUAAUAAUAUGUGAACCCAACAGUUCUAAUGUUUUAUUACUUAAGUUGACACAUGCUCAUGAAUGCUGUACAGCAUGGAUUAUUAUUUGCAAAAAACAUACUACAAGACAGCUGCGUUGAUUUCAAACAGCUGCAAAGCUAUUGCAGUUCUUUCUGGGCAAACAACAGAAGUACAGGCUCUUGCUUAUCAGUAUGGCAGACACUUGGUAUGUUGGUAUUUUUCCUUACCCAGAAUCUGUUGCCUUUCUUGCUUACCAUGAACCGCUAGGAUGACCCACUCUAUAAAUCUCUGCCAGGGUAUAGCAUAUCAGUUGAUUGAUGAUAUCCUCGAUUUCACAGGCACAUCAGCUUCACUAGGCAAAGCUUCCUUUACUGAUAUCAAUCAAGUAAUACAAUUAGUUUCUCAAGUAUCUCUUGAUAGUAUUUUACCUUUUUCAUAUAUUAACAUGCAAGGAAUUAUGUAUGGACAGGGAAUUGUGACGGCUCCCGUACUGUUUGCGAUGGAAGAGUUCCCCCAACUCCGUGAGAUUGUCGAACAGGGAUUUGAUGACCCUUCAAACGUUGACGUGGUUUGUAUUGAAACUGUACCUUUUCCCUUUUUUCUGGUAAAAAUGCUCCAACAAUUUGGGUUGCGAAAUGUUCAUAUCUUGGCUAGUGUGGUCACAGACGUGCCCAUUUUAUACACUUAUAGGUCCUCAAAUACCUUCAGAAAAGUCAAGGAAUCGAGAGGACGAGGUUACUUGCUGCUGAACAUGCAAAACUAGCUGCGGUAGCUAUCGAUGAUCUUCCUGCGAGCGAGGACCCAGUUGUGCUUAGCUCGAGGCAAGCGCUCAAAGAUCUUACUCAAAAGUUCUUGAGGAGAACAAAGUGAACUGGUGGCGGAAAGUGUAGAACUGGCUAAGCAUGCCAGCAGGCUUCAAUACAUCACCAUGCAUGUUUUUGUUGACGAACAGUUUGUUAUGGUGACAGAUGAAUUUGGGAGGUUGGGGACGAGAGUACUACCUCUCUUUUUCCUCCAUUUUCAAAGCAGCAGAAUUGUACGACCUCAAUGAAACCGUGCAUCUUGGUUAUUGUAUUGUCAAGGACAAGCCAUUUCAUCUUGUAUAUGCCACCACCACCUACAUGCUGCACAUUGCAUGGCGACAGGUUGAGCCAAAGCUAAAUGGCAUCACCCUUUUAUUUUAUUUAUUUAUUUAUUUAUAUUUUUUAGGGAAUAUUGCAGUAACCAUUUCCUCCUUUUUGCUGUCCAUUACUGUUUUGUGAUUUAUUCACACACGUUUUUUUUGUAGGCCUUUCAAUAUUAUACAUCGAUUUUAUAGCAACUAUACAUAUAUAUUAAGAGAAAUUAAUGGUCAAAGAUUCGAAGUAUGAAUCUUUUUUUUUAAAAAAAUUAUAAUUCGCAUAGUAAAAAUGACUACGAUGGAGGGACUACACAAGAUUAUUCAUAUGAAAUGAUAUGGUUACGGGGUUGGAGUAUGCUUUUCUCAAAGUUUUUUUUGUUCAUCAUAUUACAAUUUCAUUUCAUUGAUUUGAAAAACAAAUUGAAACACAAGUGUGGAUCUAAACUAAAUAUUGGAGGCAAUGAAGAUCCAAAAUAACACUUGUUAGCUACAUGUCCAUACAUGUGACAUGUCUCCCAUUUCCAGAUAACUGAUGUACAUACAGGCGUCAACGUGCCCGUUCACUCCUUACACAGCAAGCAGCCAGCAAAGACCAAAAACAGAACACUACUAGGCUGUUAAGCGACAGGUAGUGCACCAAAAGUCAUCCUGCAGGGUUUAUAUGACAGCUGAACUAGGCAACCUAACCACACUGCCCACCAGUUCAAAGCAGGAGCUGGGGAUGAUGAUCACAGAGAAUAGUAGUCAUGGAUGUAAGUGUAGUAUCUUGGGUCAUCACAGGUCACAUUGCGCAAGUCCGGGCUUGGGGGUUCUGGGGACCAAGGGGGUGAAUAGUCAUCCCAGUAGUAGUCACCAUAGGAAUCAUCAUCAUCUUUGGCAGUUGUUGGAGGCGGCAAUCCCUCGCCAUUUCCCUUUGGCUUGUUGUCCGUCGAACUGUCGGCCACCAGGAAAUCAAAGACUUCGGUGCUAGCCAGCGCCGCGGUGACAUCCUUCUUCUGCAGUGUCCUCCUCAUGUCCUCCUCAGUGUGAAGCCACGCCCGCAACGUCAGCUCCUGGAUGAACAUCUCACAAGCCUUGGCGAAGAGCAAUGGUGCCUCGCCUGCAACCCUUUUUGGGAUGUUGGAGUCAGCCUUCAUGAUCUUCUUGAUCCUUGCUAGCGGAAGGCUGUGGGUCUUGAAAUUAGUUGUCUGCUUGAUCUCGGCAAGCUGGCCAGACCAGAAGGCCUGGAGCGGUUGCUGGCAGUGGCAGUGAUCGUCUUGCUGGGAUUGGGAUGCAACCUGGUGGUGAUGUGAGAGUGGAGGUUGGAUCACUGGGGCAUCAUCCUGGAAGUCUGAAGGAAUGGCAUCACCGUUUGUCACACCUUCGCUCACUGCACUCUCAGAGGGUUGCCCUUCCGUGUCCAUGAUGCACUUCAGAGUGCAGCCGCUGCUGGACAUGUCAGUCAAUCACAGAUAAUCACUCGUUAAAUUUGUAUAAGCAUUACAUGCAGUCACUAGAAGUUAACACUAUUCAGAAUGAAAAAAAAAAUCCCGAAAUGACAAAACAUCCAGCAAGAAAACAAAGUAACAAGAACUUUUGUCAUCAGAAUAGAAAGACAUAAGAUUUUCUACUUUCUUUAUAUAUACAAUAACUCAGGAAAAAUUGUUAUAAAUGCCAGAAUAUAAUAGAAAUUUGGCGGCCCUCAGUCUUCUAUCUUGCACAGCACCCUAAAAAGAUUUUCUGACAAAAUUGUUAAAUGGCACAAGUAUUGAACAACUGACAUCCUCAGUUGCUCCUCAUAGGUCACCAGCCUAAAUGGUUUCCCUUAUAAUCAAGGGGGGAAUCAUUCUAAAAAUGUUGUGUUAGGCUACCUGACAUACAACAAAUACAAAUCCAUGUUGAUAUUUUUAUUUUCAUGCAAACUUAACCACAAAAUGGAACCCCCAUAAUAGAACAGAAAAUCUUGUCUUACAUAAAAAUCACCACAUUACCGAUUCUACUUAAUUAUCACACCAAAAAAUAUCGUUAAAAAAUAACAUGACAGUCACUAAAUUGCACAAGGGACAGUAAACAUCGUCAAUUAUUGUUCCAGGCUUCCAGCUACUGACUGAUGCCUUUGUAGAAACCUCUAUUUUAUUUUUCCUUUAAUUUCUUGUCUAUUACAUAAAAAAUAGAACAUUCAUGACAAAUCAAAGUCUCACCAUUGUCAAACCUAUAUUAAAAAUGUGUGAUCCUUGAAAUCUACAUGACUGGCCAUGCAUGUUACAUCAUUCACCACGUAACCCUCCUCUCUAAAUUAGACAGUAACAGAUAGAGAAAACUUUCCUUCUGGUGUGGUAUUUGCUCAGGUUGGCACAAAUCAACUUGGAUAAACCCAUAUUCAAAGUACUAAAUGGACAGACAACAUGAAAAAUGCAAUAGCUCCAUAUUUAAACUUAAAAAAAGGGGAACAAUGCAACAUCUCACAAGAUGGCAUCCAUGGCUGCAUGAUGAACCUACUUAUUACUGGGUGUCUGUAGAGUCGUGGUUUAGCUCCUCUUCAAACAACUCAAAACGAUUUCAGCGAUCAUAGUUUCUUUGCAUUACAUGCAAAAGUUCAGAAAUUUAGGUGCAGUUGCAUUGACCUGAAACAAUACUUCACUAGAUAGACACCUUUCUUGCCCCCUCAAUCCCUCUCUCAGUUUUGGCUUUGCAAAUGCCUACCCUCCUUUUCCACUUUAUCUGCUGUCGCCUCGUUUGGCUAAUCGAUCAGAAUAACACUCCACCAAGAUCAGACACGCAAAAAUACAAACAUCCUACACGCAAUGAAGCUACGCGUUAAAUUGUCAGAAGCCAUCGUGGAACGCAGCGACUGUCAAAACCGCCACAGUGGAAAAAAAAAUUAAGAAAAAGAAAGAAAAAAAAAAGGAACCGCCACUGUCAAGACUGCCAAGAAAACCCCAAUCCGACAGGACCCGGGUCCCCGGCCGGCAAGCGCAAUGUCGCAAAGGCGGAUCGCAUCCGAGACUCGAUGAAAGCAAAAUUCGCCGCAUUAUACAAAGAAUAAACAAAAGGGCUGGCAAGGAACGAAGAACCGCCCCCAACCGCCGCCAAGAAAACCAAAACCCCGGUACGGAACGAAGAAAGUCUAGGUUUUAAAACAGCGGUGCCAAGUUGAGAGAGACGGCGUAUGACGGCUGACGGGCACUGUACCUCGGAGGAAGCGGCCCCGUGGCGAGGGAGUUGCGCGGUGAACAGCAACCGUCGAAUCGGAGACGACGAGGAGGAGGCCAACGGGUCGUGAAGCCGUGGGCAAUGGGAGAGACGUAGAGCCACGGGGUAACUCGAGGCUUCUUGUAGUGUAGCGCUGACUGCUCAGGACUCGUGUGUGGGCCAUGCACGCUGGAGUUAACCAAAACGAGGUGUGUUUGUAGCAUCUACAGUCAAUGACUUUCCAUCCAUAUUUUUUAGGAAAGUAAAGAAAAAUCCUUUCUAAAAGUUAACUUCCCAAUUCUUCAUCUUUUCUAACUUAGGCCUUGUUUAGUUCCAAAAAAUUUUGCAAAAUUUUUCAGAUUCUCCGUCACAUCGAAUCUUUAGACGCAUGCAUGGAGUAUUAAAUAUAGAUAAAAAUAAAAAUUAAUUGCACAGUUUGGUCGAAAUUAACGAGACGAAUCUUUUGAGACUAGUUAGUCCAUGGUUGGAUAAUUUUUGUCAAAUACAAACGAAAUUGCUACCGUGUCGAUUUUGCAAAAUUUUUUAGAACUAAACAAGGCCUUAUAUCUCUCUCUGUUUUGUACGUAAAUAUAUGCGUGCCCUCCGUGCUUGGCAUCUCUUUUUGCUCUUGCUUAGCGAGGCUCUUUAUUCGCUUAGUGAGGCUCUUUGUUUGCUUAAUGGGCCUUUUCGUUUUGUUAGCGGGUUUUUGGAUUUGUAGAAACGAAAUUUGCCAAACUAUUGGAGAUGAGAUCUUUGUUUUCCUUCUGAUAUUAUUUUGGAAGUUGACAAACAACAAGAUUUAAGAAAUGAAUUUUGCCAAAUUGUUGGAAAUACUCUAAUAACUCCACCCAAAAAAACUGCAGCACCUGUUUUAGGGCUUUUGAUUGGUUGGCUUCCAAAAUACUCCUAUAUUAAGUCAUGAUUUUUGCUAUUGUUUGGUUUUCGCUAUCAAAACUACCUUUUACAAUUGGCUUACCAAAUUCGUGGUAAUUUUUUUCCGCAACUUUUGCUUGCCAAAUCCUUGGUCUGGUAAAUUUUAGAUGCAAACCAAUUAGACCCUUAGCAAACUCCGAUUGCCUCACAAAAAUUAUAGUUUUGAGGUUUUAAAUUUAUUCUAGAAAAAAUGUUGUUGUAGGUGUAGACCCCACCACUUUAUCCUAAAUCAAUGCAACAACCCUACUUUCUCAUCUCUCCCACAUCUUUCAUUGCCCGUCCUCUUACAUCUUAUUCUCUGUCGUUGCGUAAGUGGACAAUGCGUGCCACUCUCUUCUUCUCCAAGGGCAUGGAGGCUGGUGUCGGGGCUCUUCUUCUCCACUAGUGCGGAGGUUGCCCGAGCUCCUCCUCUACCGGCACAGAAGGCUAUGCCCUUCUCUUCUCCUUCACCGAUGUGGAGGCCACGCUCGCCCUCCUCUUCUCCUCCACCAGCAUGGAUGCCACGCCUGCCCCCUCUUCUCCAUCGGUGAGGAGGCCACGCCCGCUGUUCUCCUGUCCUCCACAACACCCCUCUGUCAUCCUCUAUCGCCAAAUUCGUUGCCAGCCCCAACACUCUGCCCUUCCCUCACAUAUAUUUAGUCGAGCCAUCUAGGCUAACCCCUCAACCACAUCUUCUAUCGACGAGGGCGGGCAUAGAUUUCAGCGACACGAACACAACAGGUGUCGAUGACGUGAGCCCUGACACGGUGGGCAUGGUCGUUUGGUGCAGUGGCGGAGUGUGAACUAAAAUUAGGGGGGGGGGGAUUUGCGAAUGUGUGAGCUCAGGGAGCCAAUAUGGCAAUAUACUCAAAGAGACACCACUCGCCAUAUUUAACCAACUACAAUGCCUUCUGUGGUGCCGAGGAGUGCAACAGAGGCCAGAGAGCAAGCUCAGUAGCGCUAGCAAGCGUCGUAGUAGUGCCAAUACCAACGAUCUAGCAAAGCUCACUUAGUUCGAAAAUUAUCAUAAAGAACUAUCCGGACAAGCGAAUUAUGAUAGUGGACAUCUCAAUCUUUGUAGUAUGUACCAGCCUGAUGCACUAUAGUACUACUACUUGCAUACAGUUAAAAUGAGAAGUCAAAUCAUAAAAGGAUAAUGGAUAGAAAAGACUAGCUGCAGUCUAUUCUUGGCGAUUGGUACUACUUCGUCAACUGAAGAGAGAAGGAGAGAGAACAUAGGAGUCUGUAGCUAUUUUGACUUUCUUGUUGGUUUGUGUGCGACUCCUAGAACAGUCGUAAUCUUGGGAUGAAGAGAGUUUUUUUUUUGAAAGGCUAAGAUUUUCACUACUUUAAAUGCAUAGUACAGAUAUGGAGGGAACAAACUCAUUCAAAGUUUUAAAGUGCUAUUUGCACACAAUGGCGAGGUAAAUGCACGAUAGCUUGACAUGAGAAAAGGCAAGAACUUGUUAUAGAAGCUAGUCUUGCCUGUUUUGCUAGCCUAUCUGCAACUCCAUUGCUUUCUCUUCUAAUAUUUAUUGUGAAUGUUUCAUUCCUUGUGUGGUUUUUGCAAGUAGAGCAAGAGUAGGUCUGAUGGACCAUUGUCCUAGAUGAAAGCGUGGAGAACCAGCUUGAGCAGCUAUAGCAAGUAGUACUCAUUAUCUGUAAGAGAAUUGACAUCUUGUAGAUUCGGAGUCCUUGCUAGUAGCUUGGCACCUAGCAGCAGAGCCUGUGCUUUCGCCUCUAUAUGAUCCAUGUGCUCCUUUGUAGCAACUUGAAAGGAAAAACGGAAUUCGCCUGAGCCGUUAGAAUGAAAAUGUCAACGCCUGUUCUCUGUUGUCCAGGUGGUGUUUGCAUGCAUACUGAAGCAUAGGAAAAACUCGUUAAUUUAAUUACCAAGAGCUAGGAGUAAAAAUGGAUAUACUGCAUUUGAGUAUGCAUUUCACGAUUUAGGAUAAAAAUUUUCAAAUUUCCUCAAACACUGAUACCAGAUUGGAGAAUUCAAAUCUAAAUGUAAAUUUGGAUAUUCAACUCAGUUUUGAAAGGAAAAAGGAUCAUUUUUUAAUAUGAGAAAAACCAUAUCAUGUUAAAAUUUCAAUACAAUUGUAAACAUAACGAAUACAUUUUUUAUAUCAACUAAUGUGUUUAGUAUCGAGUUUAAUGAAUAAAAAUAUGUUUUUGAUCCACCACGUUCUUAUCUCAGUUAAACAUUUUAAAUAAAAAAUCUACUUGUUUAAAAUGAACUAAUGGGAUCUGCCUUUGAAAUAUUUUAAAUAAAAAGCAUUUACUAGUUUCAAAGGUGCACAGGAAACGCCGAGAACCAAUCGCAGGGAACGUGCACGUUCAGUUCGAGCUAGGACGGCCAAAAUUUCCUUGGCUGUGCCGAUUUUUGGUGCCAUUCCAAGCGCUGGGCAAAUUACUGGAACAGUGCACAAAUUUGGCUCAGCACUUUAGGGUAAAAAACCAAAUGAGCCCUACAUGUAAAAAACAAAAUGUACUGUAAGCUGUCACAUCACAACGAAUAUAUGAAAGGAGAGGGUAAUAAAAACACGUCAGCACCGUUCUUAACUCUAUAUGUCGAGGGGUUCACUCGAGAAAAAUUAUAUUCCCUCGCUUUUAAAUUCUAAGUUCUUUUAUAUAUAGAUAUGAUAUACUUAGAUGUAUAUUAUAAUAUAGUCUAUGGAAGUGAUUCGUUCGUUACCCAUACAUGCCAAAGGAUGCCAAGCUAAAAUUUGCAUUGGGUAAUUUGACUAAAAUUGGUCUUCAUUUGGUUGCGCGUCAAAUUUUGGCUUGUUGUUUGGCAAAAUUCGUUUUUCAAAUCUUGUUGUUUAUUAACUUCCAAAAUAAUAUGGGGAGGAAAAAAAGAUAUCAUCUCGAACAGUUUGGCAAAUUUUGUUUUCAAAAACCCAAAAACCAAACAAAGAGCCCCGCUAAACAUGAGGAGAAAGAUCGAUGCCAACCACGGAGCCCGCGCGUAACAGGAGAUAUGCCAAGUUGGAAAAGAUGGGAAAUUGAGAUGCGAAACUGCUGGAGAGGAUUUUUUCUCAUUUUGCUAAAAAAAUUGUGGAUGAAAAGUCAUUAUUUUGCUAAAAAAAUUAUGGAUGGGAUCAUCCAUAAUUUUUUUAGCAAAUGAGAAAAUACUCUCUCCAGCAGUUUGGCAUCCCAAUUCUUCAUCUUUUUCAACUUGCACAUCUCCCCGAGGCUCUUCAUUCGUUUAGCGAGGCUUCUUAUUUCGUUAGCGGGUUUUUAGAAAUGAAAUUUAUCAAACUGUUGGAGAUAAGAUUUUUUUUCUUUCCCAUAUUAUUUGGGAGUUGGUAAACAACGAGAUUUGGGAAACGAAAUUUACGAAACAGUUGAAGAUGUUCUUAGCUCUUCCAUUUGGCCAAUUUGAUGGCCAAAACAAUCAAGGCACUGGUUACUAUCAUUAACUAGCAAACUGGGGGAUGUAUUGUGAGGCCUAGCAGGGCGAACAAAGAAAAUGGGGAUGAUAUCAGGAGAGUAACCCUAAAUUAUAUACUCCAUUAGUUCCAAAUUAUAAGUUGCUUUGACUUUUUAAUAUAUCUAUUUUGCUAUGCAUCUAGAUAAAUAAUAUGUCUAGAUAUAUAGCAAAACGGAUAAACUAAAAAAAAUCAAAACAACUUAUAAUUUGGAAAGAGUAGAUGUCACUAGAGACUAAUAUGGAGAGAGCAAGCAAAUAAAACACUCUUUCAGAACUAUAGUUUUAUUCGUAACUUUUUAUAAACUUAAAACUUUACAGAGUGUGGCCAGGAUGGUGAUAGUAAUGCUCACAAUACGGUAUGGGACAUUCAUCCUGAUUAACUAAUAUCUGAAGCCACUCACAUCUCUGAAGUAAACCAGUAAUUGUAAGUACUCCACUGGGACUUUGUCAAACCCACACAAUCCUGGUUUUAGCACUUGCAUUAGUAUCAGCAUUAACCUUUCGGAAUCAAGCAGUUAAACAUAAAGAUAUAGAAGUUUAGUUUCAUUUGAGUUUUGAAAAAGAGAACUAUCAGCAUUAACCUUUCGGAAUCAAGCAGUUAAACAUAAAGAUAUAGAAGUUUAGUUUCAUUUGAGUUUUGAAAAAGAGAACCAGGAUUAUUACAAUCAUAUACAAGUCAUGUCAGUGAUCUCUCUCAAAAACCAUUUCGUGAUUCUUGAAGGGGUGUAAGGCCAAGUACAAGCAGUAACCUUUGCAUAAAUGUAUGUCUCCAUGAAUAGAUGGACUGAUACACAAGCAUAAGCCUAUCCAGUAUAAACCACAAGUUCAAAAGAUAAAAACAGAACGUUAACAGGUCAUGAAGCAGCUCAAACUUGUGACCUGUGACUCACAAUAUAUGAAUAAGUUCAACUUCCACCGGAACCAAGAAUCCGACUUUUCCAAAGAUGGCAAUAAUAUAAACUCAGAUGUAAACACUAAAUAUCCAAAACACUAUGAUGUAGGCUUAACGAACUUAGAGCAUACACCAUGACAAUGACAUAUAAACAACUAAUAGCACAACCCGCAACGGUUCAAACAGGACAUUGAGAUGAUCGUAGAGAAUAGUAUGUCAUUGUAGAAUCUUGUGUCAUCACAGGUCACUUUGCUCAAAUCAGGACAGGAGCGCUCAUCAGGGGACGAAAGGCGUCAGUCGUAGUCCUCCCAGUAGUUACCAUAAGAACCAUCACUCAUCCCCCCCUCAGCGUACAACAUAUCUUCAUCUUUUGAUGAAAGGUAGGGCAUAGUGAGCCUUGUAGUCUUCACCCUCUUUCUCUCCAAUGACAUGAAGGUCGGGGCAGCAAACCUUAUUCUGCUGUUUGUGAAACAAGACAUGUUUGAGGUUAGAGCAUCGAGCUCGGAGUUCACCAUUGACAUGGAGAUUGGAGUAAUCAGAGAUGUCAAGGCAUUCGAGAUGGGGGCAGCCCUUGAGAAUGGCAUAGAGCCCUUUGUUGGUCAGGCUGUUGCCUGCCAACUGAAGAAGCCGAAGCUCAGGCAAGCUCUCUGCAAUGGCAAAGGCAACCUCAUUUAUCCUCGCUUCCCAAGCUUCGGCAGUUUCCUCCUCUGAUUCCUCGUCUUCAUCUAGCUCACCAUUUUGCCGGCGACAUUCCAUCUUCAUCUCACGCCAGAUCUCAUCAGAAUCAUACCACUCCUCAAUAUUGAUUCUUAGACGCUUCAACUGGGGGCACACAAUGCCUAGAUUCCUGAAAAAACCUUCUGGCAUUAUUUGAUAUGAACAUUCUAUCUCCUCCAGAAGCGGACAUUUAUCUACCAUCAUAACCAAUGGCAUAUGCCAAAAGUAUGCGCAUGAGACAAGCCGAAUGCUCUUCAAAUAAUUGGCCCUGCAGAUAUUAUAGGGACAAAAACGGACAAGAAAUCAAAUCAAAUGAGCAAUAUACGAAGUAUCAACAAAGUUAGCAAAAUUAUAUCAGGGCAUGAUUACGUGAAAAAAAAACUUGACAUUGAGUACUGUCAAUCCGGUUAUAAAAAUAUAGCAUUGGUUGACCCAGAGUCCAUAUAGGCAUUUUUUUCCCAAAAUCAAGUCCAUAUAGGCAUUGGUGGGAAUAAAUAUGCAAUUUAUGUUUGUGGGUCAGACAAGUGUUUAAUUGGUGGCUGCACUGGACAAUUACAAAAUUCAUAAAAGAAACCGGAAAUAUAAUUAUGGCUGAAGUGACAUCGGGUUACUAAUGGGACAGAUCCAUAGGCAUCAUGUGUAUGCCUAACAGGGGUGUUAUUAGUGGUCAAAAGCAGCUACUGCUUAGUGGGGUUAAAUAAUUGUUGUACUACUGCAUAAAUAAAUCCAGAAAUGAAGCAUAGUUAAAGUUCCUAAAGCCCCAAAACUUGUCCUAAUUGUUUUCCCUUUUCCUCGUCUAAUAAAAAUAUGGCAAAGCUCUUGCCACAUUUCUAAAAAAAAAAAAUCUGUUCUAAUAAGAAAUUAAGAACUGAAAUUUAGCAUGGCAAGAAAAUACCUGUUUCCAAUGUAAUCCAAGAGUUCGUCGGUAACAAAUUGUUGAGCCCAGAAUGACUCCAUCCUUCCAUCUGAGCGAUCUAUGGCUACUCUUGCCAUGGCACACAAGAUACUUGUGCUCUUCGAGAAAACUAACUUAUGGCGAGUCAUGUCCACAAAACGCCAAAUUUCUGGUGCCUUUGCAGCUGCCAGCCAUGAGCGGCACACAAGGCCUGCACCCAUGAGGACCUCAAUGGCCCCAAGCUUCAUGAAGAUUGAGGAGAGAGGGUCGAGUGGGAGCUCAGACCAAUCCCUCACAGGUGACUCCAGCAAGGGGCUUGGGUCCACAUCCAUUGUGCAAACUGGUACCUAAGACUGGAGUCAGUGAAAAAAAUUACAAGCUGUAAGUUGUAACUACUAAGGGGUGGUUAGAGAUGUUAAAGUUUAACAGGUAAUGUAGCAUUUUCAUUUUAUUUGACAAUUAGUAGCCAAUCAUGGACUAAUCAGGCUUAAAGAUUCGUCUAGCAAAUUAGUGUUUAGCUGUGUUUUUAGUUUCAUAAAUAAUCUAUAUUUAGUAUACUAUAAAUGUGUCCAAAUAUUCGAUGUAAUAGGUGAUAAAAAAAAAUCAGCCUCAACCAAACAAGGCCUAAAAUAGCGUGAGCACUGUAGAAAGUAAAAAAAAACACACACACCAUUAUAGGAUGAAUUAGGCGGUUUUUCAUUAAUUAAGAAGAAAAUAUGCACAUACAUUCGAGUCUAAGAGAACUCAAACUUGGAUGGUUAGGAUGCAUGACCACGCCUCCCAUCUCAAUAGAUCGAUUGUACAUUUGUACCACAAGAGACAGUUGGAUAAAACCCUAGGUCGAUAUGUGGAAAGUCGAAACCACCAAAAAAUAACACUGUGUUUGCAAGAUAGUAGCUUAUUCCAUCUAGCAUUUAUAAGCUAUUUCACAAAACCAGAUCAUAGAAACCAAAAAGGAAAACCUACGGGCAUCAGACGACUUAGAUUGAAAGUGUAGAUUAAAUUAUGAUGCUAUAUCUUGUACUAAAUAAAAACUGUUAGGAACAUGUCUGAUGGGUGAUGGCUGCUGCAGAGAAAAGAAGAGGGGAACGAUUGACAAGUCAGGAAUGAAGGCCGGUAAAGUUCUUAACAAACUAGGAUCAUCCUAAGAAGAGGACAUUGUGUCGACCACUUGUUUCAAGAAACUGAGAACAACAUCCCCUUCUCGGCUCCUCCUAGAACUCAGGCAACAAGACAACAACGACGAUGAACUGAACUACUAGACCAUCUACCCGAUCGAUGACAAAGAAAUAAUAAAAUGAAAAAAGAAAUGCAAAAAUCGUCUUGUCAAAUCCGUCCAUCGGCCAGAAAUUUCAACAUUUUCCCAUCCCAACAAAACGUGGCCCUAAUUAAGGUGAGGGAAGUUCAGAUCCUGGGGACCGAACGAAGAAAAACCACAACUAGCCACGGGAGAUCAUUUAGUUCGUUACCUUCGCCUCCGGCGGCGGUGGGUGAGGUUCCUGAGCAACUUCGCCGGACGAGGGCUCACAGCCGCACUUAAAUGGAGACCAAGAGGGAGACGGUUCCUAGUCGAUUUGCUUCUGUUUUUUUUUUUUCCUUCAAAAGAAAAAGUCGAUUUGCUUCUGUUGGGGGUGGAUCGAGUAUUCUAUGGGCCGACAGGCCCAGAAUGCGGUUGGGCCCGGUUUGUGUUUCUGCUGUAUAUGUACAAACAAUGCUUGAAAGCAGGUAAACCCCAUUUGUCUUCAUAAUAUCCAGAAAAAAAGUGCAUCAUGAAAACAAAGUUAAUCCUUUGUCAAAGACAGAGACCUAUACCAGCUUGUCACUAGCACAACUGCACAACCCACAGGCUCAGUGUUACCUUGGAUGCACUGAUGCACCGAUCUAAAUGGCUGUACGGGGAACUGGAGCAAGAGUAAAUUACAGACGAGGUUUGUCAUUUCGCACAAGUACAGAGAGCCACUUUAUGUAGUUUUACUCUUGACUAAUUAACACAUGCAAUGAAUUAGUAACCACAAAGACAGAAAUCCAUUUCCUAAUAAGGAGGAAUCCCAAAAGAAAUACAACAAAAAAUUGAGCAACAAAGUUCGGCAUUUUGUAACAGGUUCAAGGAAUUGCGACUAGAAAAGCUUUUCAAUUUCGCUUCAGUUAAAAUUCAAUUAUUAUUAACACACAAAAGACAAAAAAAAAGGGGGGGGGGGG